rnacentral:lncRNA from 1 species
UAAGGUGCUGAAAGCCUGACCUAUUCUAUGAAAUCCGACUUGAACUUGGCUUCCCUUUUGUCUCUCGUGCUACUUUCCGGGAACUGCAACUUAACCUAGAACUUGAAACUCGUAUUGAAUCUGGAAACAAUACUGGAAUCUUGAACUACACUUGAAAACUCCACUGGACUCGCCCCAACAUUAGCGGAAUCCAGCGCCUCACCUCUUGCAUCGCAUAUAAGUUAUGAAAAUGACCCGCGGAAAGAAAUCUCCACCCACCCUAUAAUACGGAUUACCCUAUAUCUAUCUCGUAUUACUCAGCCUAUAAUAAGUAUUUACCCCCUAAUAGAAUUAUAUACUAAACUAUCUUAACAGCGAACUCCUUGCUGAACUCCUUAACUCCUGACUCGUUGUUCUAACAUUGCUUACUAUCUUGGGGCGCGGAGCUCGAAAGACACUCUUUUUCUUUUGCCUAAAAAUCCAAGAAGUGAGAAUUUCCUCACACUGCUGAUUCUAUUGUCGAUGAAACUCAAACUAGACUUUGCGCUUUAUACUCUUGCUUGAGAAACUGCUUAUCUGCUUACUUUCGCCUUUCUUUCGACUUCUCCUUUCUACUACUCUAGUUCGGAUGCGGGGACAGUGACUAGUGAAUCAGCUUCUUCCCUUCCACUUGAUGCGAAAUAAAGGGCUGCUUCUUUGCACGAAUAAACUCCAAAGAACUCGAUUCGUCCUGUGUUGUGUGGUAGAUAGAAUGGUUUUCCCUAAAUGGAAUCAGAAGCAUGGAAUGUGGCUAGGGCACCUUAUUUGAUGAAUAAAGGUAGGGUAGAGAUUCAUCUUUCGGCCAGUAGAAGAAUUCCCUGUGGGACUUACUUGUUGAGGAAUAGAGUCAGGAGGCUUUCAGCACCUUGCUUGUUUGCUUGUUUGUUCUUGGACCGCCAUCCUUCCUUUUAUAGUGACCAUCUGGAUGGAGCUCGCCUUUCUAUUCCUUUCCUUUUGAAAGAUCUCUUCGUUCUCUAUACUCACCUAUUACAGCUGGCUCUAAAGAAUCUAGCGUUCCACUCAUAUAUAAUAGCGGAACCAGACUCCUUACUCUAAGCGUAAACACCACAUAUGACUCCACUUACUCUACUUACUGCUUACACUGCGGACUCUUCUCCACAAAGGCUUACUAAUGCAUCCCGCCCCCGAACAACAACUCGCUAACAGCCGAUGAAGAGUAGAAAGGGGGUAAAGGUCGCUAACUCACUUAGAAAGGGGAUAAAGGUAGCUAACUAACUUAGUAUAAAGGGGGUCAAGGUAGCACUUAGAAAGGGGGUCAAGGUCGCUAACUCACUUCAUUCACGUUAGCCGUUGCGUUAGCCGUUGCGAGAGCCUUAGUUUUCAAGAAAAUCAUAUAUAUCUAUAUGGGCAGCUGUUUCCAAAAAAUCCUAUUUAUGGGCAUCCUCACACUAUACUCAAGUACUACAUUAUUUUCGUUGCUUGUAUAGUAGUGGGUUAUCUUCCUUAGCUUAUUGGGUGCGUGAGCUUACUCUUGGUCUUGGGAGGGUUUAGUUUGUUAAUCAAUUACACAUUGGGUCAACUACUCAUAAGAUUCUUUCCUUUCCCUCCGCUCUGUACCUUAGUUAUGAAAAGAAUCCGUAAUGCUGUGUUCUUACACUAAAUGGUGAUGAACGCUCUCUUCUCUGUAAUGAUAGUAGGCUGUUUUGUUACUGUGCUUCUAUAAGUAGUAGUGACUCAUAUGAUUUUCUUAAGUAUAGUAUCAGAAAGGGCAAGGGCAAAGUGCGCUAGUGAGCUUUCGGGGAACAAGCUUAGGGCAAUAAGUCAAUCAAGUACUCUAGUAGAUUUGGUACACUGCCUUCCGAUGUGUGUUGUAUAUCUCUCUUCACUCUACUAUGUCUAUGUCCUUUAAUAAGCGCUGGCAGGGUCUAGGGUUACUAACCAACUGAUGGCCUCCGUCCUUUAAUAAGCGAGCGCUGGGUGAAGUCUAGGAUUCCAAACAAACCAAGUACUAAUUUCUUGCCUAGAGCUUUAUUGCGCUAACCAGUAAAUGAAACAGAUUGUCACUAAGGAGCACUCCUCAAUGCAUACAGUAUCUCUUCAACUCUUUCCCCAAAGCCUCCUUCUCUCUUCCGCCAUCUUAUCUUAGUAAGUUCUACUUAGUUCAAUCUUAUGUGCUUUUUCAUCUCUUUCUUUCUUUGCUUCUUUAUUGAGAGUACUCUUUUCUUUCGUAUGCUAAUUCAAUUAAGGAGUGAUAAUUAUUAUUAUUAUUUCUAUGGAAUAUUGUGAUUGCCUGAGCGAAAGCGUCUGCAUGUUCACUACAGGGCAACGGUUUGAUGCUGUAGUUUGGCCGAUCCGCUGCUACUGCUCUAACUGGUGCUUGCCCACUACAAGGUAAGUAAAGUAGCAAGUAGAGUCUAGAUAAUGGUGCCCCCUCCGGAUGUUAAGGGUGAGGGUGCGAGUGUCAUUGUAGCGAGAGGUUCGGUGCUUGUUUCCUUGCUUUACAAAACAAACUAAUCACAAUCAAUAUAUAUUGGAUAUAAGAGCUUAGGGACAUAUUGCUAAAGAUGAUGGUUAUAUGACUGCUUCCCUUUUUGCUUCCAAACUCACUUUGGACUUUUCUCACUUAUAUCAGCAGCCGAACCCAACACUCAAGUACUUGAUUCUUGCCUUAAGCUUCUUUUCUCAACUUUCAGAAAAUCAUAUUAUUUGUGACCUAUGAUAGAAUAGUGGAACCUUCACUUUAUUGACCUAUGAUAGAAUAUAUGCACCUCACUCCUAUUACGAGCCACUGCAAAUAGCAUAGCACUCCUAUUACGAGCCACUGCAAAUAGCAUAGCACUCCUCACUCUACUGUCAUUAAGGAAUCGAACUCUUAACUCGACUUAUGGCCCUACACUCUUAACUCGACUUAUGGCCCUACAGAAUAUAUAGAACACUUCUCUUAUGUGAUAUAAUCGAUGAAAACCACUGCAUCCAUUAUGACUACUGCUGGCUCUAAUCUUUGCUUAGCUUGUUUCUUCUAUUCCUAAUGCGUUUCGAUUCUUCUUUGCUUCAAACUGACGCUGGACUUAGGUACUCUCUUAUGGCCCUUGCUUGUUUGUGACUCACUUCACUUCAUUCACCUUAGUGUUUCUUUGCUUGUUUUUGGGAAAUGGCUUGUUGAAUGGAAGAUGGGCACCUGAGUUACUUGUUUGAAAUGAAUUGAGUGCACCACUUAUGGAUUACAGUAAACAACCUUCAGACUGAAAACUCAUGUAAGCCCUUGCGCUUGUGUUGAAAAGAAUUAGGCUACACCACAAUUUGAAAGAAAGUAAACGUUACGCCUUUGCGCUUGUGUUGAAAAGAAUGAAGCUACACCAACCACACCAACAUGGAGAAUCAGAGUACACGUUAGCCCUUACGCGAAUUAAGCUAACCAACACACAUAUAGAAUACAUAGUCAACUUACUCCUUACUGCUAUCAUCCAAUUAGUGUCACUCCUUACUGCAGAAUCAAGUCAACUUACUCCUGGCUGCUCAUUCUAUGCAUUCCCUAGCAACACUGUUUACUGUGCGAAACCAUCAAAACUCACCAAUUUCUUAAUACUCCAAUAACUUAGGAGCAUCACCGUAAUUGCUUGUUCCUUUGACUCUAAAGACUCUCACUUAGGCAAUAGUCAGUAAGUCUCUUUUCUCUUCUGUAUGAUAUUUUGCUCUUCUGUAUGAUAUAGUAUAGGGUUCAUUCUCUUAUCUGAGUAGUAGGUUAGUGAAAUAGGGUUCAUUCUCUUAUCUGAGUAGUAGGUUAGUUAAGCCCACUUAUCGGUAUCUUCUAGCUUGAGUUUCUUCUAGGUUCGGGGCACAGUGAGUUCUAUAGAAAGAGAACAGUUCCGAGAUGCUUCAGAAAGCACCAACAUCUACUACAUGCGCCACAAUUCGAUUCUUUAGAGUAAGAGGAAGGAGUCAAGAGUAAUGGAGAUCCAUAUAAUGGGAAAUAGGAUCAUGAACCGCUUUCCAAAUAGUGUUUCAUUUGAAUACAUUAUCUUUCUUCUCUAUGUUCAAUAUAUUGGAUUAGUAUAGUCUCCUUGGAGUAAGCUGUUUUGUUACUCCAUUCAUCUUUCUAUCUAUUAGCACACAAUACGCAAGCAAUAGGGACCAUUAUAGAAUCAAUUUCUUUCCCUGAACCCGCAAUGGGUACCAUAAGAUUCCACUACUAACACAGAUUUUCUUCCCUUAACCUUAAAAUGAAAGGUGCUUUGCUUUCCGAACCUAACCUUUCUAUUCCUUUCCGAACCUUCCGAACCUAACCUUUCUAUUCCUUUCCGAACCCUAGCCUAGACAAUAGUCGUUCUGAAUUAUGGCCCUUGCUUUAAUAAUAUCAGCAUCCUUUUUCCUGGUGAAUAGUCGAGUUUGUUGUUCUUUCGCUGUUGCUCGUUUACUUGUUUAAUAUGCGCAUCAUAUAGAAUUUCUAGUUACCCCCCCUUCUGACUCUAAGCUCUAAACCAGAUUACUCCUCUGACUUCCAAACUCACUCGUACCCCGCACCCCAAAACUAGAAAGAAUCGAAUUGAACUGACAACUAACUACAUAUAAGAACUUAACAUUACAGCCUAUAAUCUUAGCUUAUUAGUUUCGUUUUUUGUUCCCUUGCUGACUCAACAUAUAGAAUUAAGGAACCUUAACAGCUGGUUUCUCCAAAGAACUGCUCACUACUCCAAUGCUAACAAACCCCGCUCCGCUAAACUAGCUUUGUAUAAUAAAGGCUAAAGUGCGAAAGAGGAACGCCCGAAAACUUGAACUCAUGAAACGUAAGCACAACGGCGCCGGCAAACUCACUAACGCCAGUGCUCAGUAAACUAAAAGAAUUCCAGAAGUUCAUGCACACCUACAAAAGAAUUCCAGAAGUUCAUGCACACCUCAUAUAUACUCAUAUAUAAUAAGAACGGACAUGCCUAUCAAUACUCAUAUAUAAUAAGAACGGACAUGCCUAUCAAUAUUCACGAACGAGCUUCUUACCUUUCAUUGGGCUUCUAAACUCACUGUUUCUACUUGCCCCGUAGUCAAUACUUCAUUGAAUCUCUCUCGCAUAUGAUCUCCGUGGGUCACCUAUAACUUCUCUGGCGCCCUAGCUUGUUUUCGUGUUGCCAUUAUGGAAUGUUGCGCAGCUUCACCCUUUUCACUUGCAGGACAGAGGACCGUGUUUUAUCUAAGAUCGCUUUGCCCCACUGGCACUUUCGAAAAGAAAGCUCUGUUUACUUGUUGCACUCAGCUAGGCUGCUUCACCCAACACUCAAGUACUUUACUUAUUGCCUAAUUAGCAUUCGAGAGAUACCAGAUACUUUACUUAUUGCUUAAUUAGCAUUCGAGAGAUACCAGAUACUUUACUUAUUGCCUAAUGAACUCCCGUAAGCAAAACUAGCGUAAAAGCAGCAAUAGGGUUCAUUGAAUCUACCCAGCAUAAUAUAUAAGGUGAUUAAAAACACAGUGAAUAUAGUGCACAAGCGGAAUUGAUUCUAUUCUAUUCCAUUAUUGAUUACCUAUUUGAUAUUCUAUUCUAUCUAUUAUUUCUUACUGAAAUCAUUACUCAACUUAUAUUAUUACUGAAAUCAUUACUCAACUAGAACAGGUCGAACUGAAGGAUACUCGUAUUCAGCCCCGAAACUAUAACUAGCACUUGCAUCUGACCCGACCCAAACUCCAUGACUCUUUAAGCAAAAGCAAAGGGAAAGCCAAUCAAAGAAGCUCUGUUAGCGAGCGGAACUCCUUGACCUGGACUUGCACUUGACGAAACCUACUCCACUCUCCCUUUAGCCACUGAGUCUUGACCUGGACUUGUACUGUCUUCAGAGGAAUCCUUCGAGCCCUAGUAUUUCAUUUGGUAAUAUAGCUUGUGGUAAUAUGACCUAUCAUUCAUUCUUGGUAAUCUUACCUAUCAUUCUAUUAUACCUUAUUGCUGCUGACUUGCUUGCGCCCAGCUUCUUUUAUGGUCGACAUGAACUUUGCCCUGACUUGAGAUUUCAUUAGCUAACAUGGAGCUCACUUGAUACUGAACCUUGAGACUGGAAUUGAGCAGUUGACUUGUUUUGUUCAACACCACCGCUUACCACUUACUUUUAUACAGCAUAUUUUCUCUCUUUUCGCCUUGGAGGCGGGACAAUCCAAUCUGUUCCAUUUAUAGCCCAACCCAGAGCAGAGGUUUAUAAGAUUCCCUAACUGCUUCUAUACGAUACAAGCAUUCAUGAAAUAAGUGUGUGGCGUCCGUGAUACUUUCUCUUAGGAGAUUCUCUUCUUUAUACUACUUUCCUAGCAACGAAACAAUCAACUAACUGCGUACCCUUACCCGGUUCUAGUUGAAAAGCACCUUUCCUUCUCGCUUACUCCUUUGCCACUGCUUGUUCUCCACUUGCACUUUCCUUACCGCUUCUAGCUGACUUUUGCACUUAUGCUUCUGUUGCUUUAAGAAUAUCGGCACCCCGAGUUGCUUUCAUCAUUGAGACCCCGAGUUGCUUUCAUCAUUGAGGGACGGGACUCGGUUGAACUAUUUCUUGUUCCCUGAGCUGAACCCUGCUCCGCCUAUAAGCUAUUUAGCCAGCAAACAAAGUGAGCGGUCAACUCGCUUUCAUUUGCACUUUCCCUCUCUCUCUUUAUCUUGCGCAUCGCCUUGGUGAAUGGAAAUUGGACUGAACAACUCCAUUAGCGCCGUCUCAAGCCUCUCAUCUUUAUGGUUCUCUUGCAUCGCAUCCACAUCUAAGUUGUUAUUAUGAUUCCGCCCUUUACCUUGCAUUCCAGUCCAUUCGAGUUGAUUGACUUUAAGGCUUCUAAUCUUUAGACUACUCCAGCUCCAUCUUCGGCUGGAACUCUACCACUAGCUUAAAGAAAAGAAGAGAUAUUUGCAACCACCCAGCCUUUGCUCGUUCUCGUACACUUGCUUAUUCCCUUAUCCGCCAUUAUGUUUUAGGGGGCUACGUAUAGGUGUUAUGACUCUCAAGAUGGUGUUCAAGGCAAUAUCUAAAGAAGGGAACAAAACAAGCAAACGGGCAACUACCACCGUUGCCCUAACUUAUUAAGCGCUAAGGUACUACUUACUGGGCGCAAGAUCAAGGAUGCGCUGGGCACAAACAUGUACUUUAUCCCAUUGUCUCGGGUCGGGUGCUUGUGUGAAGCUAUGAAAGUGGAGUGAGGUGAAGAAGAGGAUUGGAAAGUGGAGUUUCGAACUGAAAGUGGAGAGUUCAGAGUUGCAGCAAAGGGAGUUAGUUGUAUUUACAUCAAUAUAUACUAGGCUAGGUGCUCGAAAUACAUCAUUGCAUUCUUUAACUGAAAGUGGAUGCAGUGUAUUUGAAUCGGUCACUUUGAUCUUCCUCUGUUGAAACAGCUUUAACAGCAUACUUUAGAUCGAACGGAUCUUGCUGAUUCUACAGUCCUAAGCUAAGUCACUCGAUUCUUUCCCGCUUGCAGAUGACACAGAUUCUUAUCCCGUUUACUUUAUUCCUCUAUGACCGACACAAUCAUCUCUCUCAACCGACCCGACCUCAAGCCAAUAACACCUAUUAACUGAACAAGACUUUCUGUGGGCUGCUGACUGACUCUCAUUUGUUUAUUCUUUCGGAGACUACUUUCUAAUUGGAAUAACUCCUUGUGUUCUAGGUCUUGUCUAGUAGUGUAGUGACUUGGCGGAACAGGAAUCCAUUUUCUUCCAGAGGAUUUCCCCACCCCAAUGAAUGCUAAAUCUUUAGAUCGUCGAGUAAAUACUUUCUUUAGAACUCUUUACGUUGAUGCCACUAAGUCUGGGCCUGCUUAUGGUUAUCUACCACUUGUGAUUGCGCCAAAGACAAGAUAAGAUCUCUUUCUUCCCGUUAGCGUAGUGCAACUCAUUCAUUGAAAUAGGACGGAACUGUCUAGGAAUGUAAUCGCUCACCUGUUAGAGUCUUUCGAUCGACAUAAAGUAGAAUUGUUUGUCAUAUUACUAGGUUUCUAUACAAUGCCUUGCUGCAGACUUUCUCCACUUCGAUCGCCCUCCCCUCCCUUGGUAUCAUUGAAGACGCUCCUUCGUGUCCGCCCUCUUUCAGAACCUCCCUUCAAUCACUGGAUGCCCACUAUCAAUGAGUUAUUAAGAACCUUGUUAUAGGAAGGGAUGAACUAGUAACUAGUCUCUAACGGAACGGCUAAGCCCAGCAAAUGAACCUUCUCCUAACUAAUUCCAACUAGCUGCACUUUCCCAACUCGACAUCUUUCAGGCUAAGACCUUACUUGCCUCGGGACAUGCCCUAUCUUGUUCUAACUAAGGCAAAAGUUCUUUUACGGCUCUGUCUCGUCCUUUAUCUGACUUCUUUUAACAUUCGUGUUUUCGUUCGUUAUAUAGCGAUAAUCGCCCAUUCAUCCUUUAGUUCUUUCUUGCUUGCAUUCUCUCUUUCUUUUGACUUCCAAGCUUGGGCUUGUAAUGUCUCAUGCUAUGAUGCUUUGGUUCAUCUCACUGCUUGACGCUCCCGCCCUUCCUUUCUAAACCUUCCUUCCUUCGAUGUAAAAGUUAGAUUAUGCAAUUCCACUAUCCGUAAGGGCAAGUAAAACAGUAAACCCAUGAAUUUGGAUUUCUCUAUCUCUAUUAAUUGAAACUACUUGACUUGCUCAUAACUCCGGUACCAGGGGCAUGGGGCUUGCUCAUAACUCUAUACGUGAGAACUAGCUACCCUUAAGCUUUGAACUCGCUAUCGCCGAACACAGCACUUGGUCUAACUACGUUGCUUGGUCUGUAGUAGGAGCUUGGCAGUUGACUUUCAUUCUACGACUACUAACUAAAAGAAUGGAUCUAUCCACUAGGAACUCUGCUAGUGCUGACAGGACUGCAAUCACAAACUCCUCUUUUAUUACUGACAUGCCGACCAGCCCCAUUCUCUUGUUUCAAACUAACGCUCCUGUCUCACAUUCUUUUAUUGAUGGGAUAGCUUUUAUUCUUCCCAUGUUCACUCCCAAGCUGACAACCUUUGUUUUCAUUCCCAUACUCCUGCUUUGCAUUCUGAAAUUCCUUAUUACGUUAGCUUAGUUUAAUACAAUAAUGAAUUAGCAUAUAUUGGAAUGGGUUUGCUAGUCGUUUGAUUAUCGUAAUUCCAAUAGCAUUUGCUUCUAGUUUAUUGGUCGAAAACAGCAAGUUAUUUCUCUAUUAGAUUAAUACAAGCAGUAGGGUAGCUUCGUUCCAUAUGCUGAUUGAUGGGGUUGGUUUAGUGAAAUCAAUAGGGUUAUGGUUACGUACCAUACACGUGGUUGUUGUUUGCUUGGGCACUGUUGACGUCUCUCCCGUUAGGGCACCUCCUUUCAAAGAAGGAAUCGAAUUGGCAUCUUAUAAACUAUAUUAUAAGAGAAUAGAAUGGAAUUGGCAUCUUAUAAACUAUAUUAUAAGAGAAUAGAAUGGAAUUGGCACUUAGGAAGCUAUCUCCUGUUCUUUUAUUGUAUUGAUACGGAGCUAUCAGACUACUAAUAGUUGGUGUAUAGGAUCUAGUGCAUCUAGCUAUUCACUAAAAGAAUGGAAAUAGUAAUAGAGAAUAUGGGUACGAUCCCAAGCUACUAAGUAGUAUCAAAUUAGCUAGGGAUUUUCACUAGUAAUACACAGAAUAAUAAGGGGAAUAAAGAAUACAGGUAUGAUGUAGCGCCUAAGAAGUAUUUGUAGUAUAAGUAAGGUACGAUCUAUUGCAUCUACUAUAAUAGGAAAAGAGUAGUCCAAGCCUCACUUUUGUAUUUCACUCUUCUAGUGGCCCCUUCCAAUAUGAAAUAGAACUCUUUCACUGGCAGCCUAAGAGCCUGUGCUACUACGCCAAUAGACUUGACUAAGAGCCAAGCAACGAGCCAAGGAACUACUCUACUACAAAUAGGGUAGCUGGCAACCAUCCCUCGAACAAACCAGUUAGUAGAUCCCUUUACUUGUCAACUUCAGACUAAACAAGGGAUUCCACCAGAACAGUAUUGGCAAACAACCAAUAAGGGCCUCUCUACUUCUAUAAAAGAAAGGAAUGCGCUAGCUGAUCACAGGACAAAGAAAGCAGGUAGGGAGUCAGAGUAAUCAAUAAGAAUUAGUUGACUUAUCGAAAUGAAUUAAGGGCACAGGACUCGUUUAGUAUCCGCCUGUCUCUUGCUCUAGUACAGUUGCUUGCCCGGCUUGUCUAACUGACUUGAAACUAGUUGCAUUCUUGGACCACUGGUUCAGGGACGUUGAAGAACAGAACCCUUAUUUUAGCGGAAUCUUUGGAGCACAUAGGUCUUACCGACGACCACUACUGAACCACGAGCGGCAAGCAAGCAAACCAAACCACCAGUUCCGAAGCUCAGAACUAAUACUGACUUCCUUGAGAAAGGGCUUUUUUGCAUUCCAUUAUAAGGGUAAUAGAUCUGUGCUAACCGAGAGCAGAACUCCAAACCAAAUAAUAACAACCUUCGAAAAAACGAUAGCCCACCACAUAUAGGGUCGAGACUCACCACUGAGUAUGGUCUCCAAAGUGUCUUAAGCGACCUCGCGCUUCCAAGACCACCGCAAGCAAAGAACAUGUGCCUCUGACAGCUCUUAUCUUUCUGGAUCAUAAGAAAACUUCGAGCUGAAUACUUUUCCACUCAUGUACAAUUCAAUCGCUAUCGACUAUUUGACUUAAGAUUAAGAAACAGCGUCUACGUCUUCUGGUGUAGCUCGGCCACCAACCUGUGAGGGAAGGCUGGCUCCUCUCAUAUAGAAUAUUCUCUUCUGGGCUGGGUGCGGUUCAACCCUUUGUAUUUCAUAAGCAGGGGAGUACCCACUAGUUCCCCAUUCUAUUCAAAACCUAUGUGAUUAAGACCCUGGAAUGUAGAUUAGCAAAAAAAGAAAGCAAGGAAGAAUUCAUUAUAUGAAUCGAAAACCUCUCGUACUCGUUAUCAACCUCCAAUUUCAGAUACGUUAGUAAACAAACCACUGGCCAAGCGUAUACUUGUAGCGGGGAAUUAAUACCUUAACUACUGAAUCUGCAUUAGUUGACAGAAGAAUCAAGGGAAGUGUAGUGACUUGGCUGACGAAACCCGUGAAACAACACUGCCGCUACACUUACGUAGUUACUUGGCAGGGCAAGUCUGUUUGUCAUUAGCUCUAUUCUUUUGCAUUAGCUCUAUUCUUUUGAUUGGUGUUUACUCUUCAUAGUAGUAGCCCAAUUCCUUAUUCCAGCUUAAAAGAUUACUCGCGUAGGGCAGAGUUUUAGGAGUUGCUGGACUCUUUCUUUAACUAACAGGUCAGGAUGCCAGAAACGCUACAUAGAAUGGAAGACCGGAAAGGAAGCUUAAGUGCCCCAACGGGGAAGAUCUGUUUGCCAGUAGAUCGAUUCUUAUGAGUAUGGGUUUGAUUCCAAUAGCGGAGAGGAGGGGUCAGUUUCUAGUUCCUUUCUUUUAGGGUAGUUACUCAUUUUUAGACUACUUAGUUGAUUUCCCACUUUGGAAGUUGAGUCUAGAUUCCUUUAUUAGUAUCCGGAGAAGUAUGUAUUAGUAUCCUGAUCGACCUAGUGCUCCAUCCAUCAACUCCGACUUUAUAAUGCAAUUCGGAGAAAGCCCACGAGCAAGUCCCUUAUCUGUUAGCUUAUAUCAAGAAAGCUGUUUCCCACGAACAACGUAUAGACCUUCUCAUCUCAUAUAUAACAUAGAGCCAGAUUCUGGAUAAAUGUUAUAUAAAUAAGUCCUCUAUUAGCAAGUCCUCUAUUAGCGCUCAUUUGGUAUUGGGUUUUCUUCGAUUCCGUUUUGCAAAUGGUAACACUAGGAAAAAGAUUCACUCCAUAACCCUGGAUUGUCUUCAUUGACAACCUGUUGAUCAUUAUAACUUCGAUUAGGGCUUACUUAAUAUACAAUGGCUUUCUUUUCUUCUAUAUACAAUGGCUUUCUUUUCUUCUGUUUUUCUUUUUCGAGUUAGUGUUUCAAAAGAGUUUCGUUUUCUCUUACUUCUGUUACAUUUGUCCCGAAAACCGCCUAUUCCAUCUCUAUCCCUGCCAGCUAUAAUGAAAAGCAGAAAACCAUAUAAUUACUUUCAUGGCAUUUAAUGGCAUCGGUCUUAUCCGUGCGUCUAUGAAUCCAAACCUCCCAAACACCGUUCUUUCGUGGAUUGACUAUUGGAUUCUUCCCCCCCUUCCUAAAGUGCCAAAGCAGAUUUCAUAGCAGCUCCUUCUCGGCAUCAAGUCAAGACAAGACCGACCCUGGAAAAGAAAGGUUUGCAUCCACCUCAGGCAUUCAACCACAGGAAACAGCCAUGCGAUUACCUUAUUACUGGCUUAUCUGCGAGGGACCAAGCCUAUAGAUCAUACCUAUUACACUGUAUGAACUCAAGCAGCUUUACCAUUUGACUUCCAUCCUGACAUAUCUUAUCUGAUUGCCCAGCUUUACCAUUUUCCAUUUCAAACACGCUUGGCUUGCUCGGAGAGGAAAGAAAGCGGAAGGAAGCUAAAGCUCGAAUGACAAGAGAGGAAAGCGGAAGGAAGCUAAAGCUCGAAUGAUAAGAGAGGAAAGCGGAAGGAAGCUAAAGCUCGAAUGACAAGAGAGGAAAACGAGGAAAACAACACCAACUUGCUAACUCGCGUACUUGCUAACAAAGAUACUUGCCCUUUUUGAGCCUAUCCAAUACCCAAGAUUCCAAAAGGGCAGGCAGAGGGAAAGGAAAUGGCGAGGAGCUGAAAUGGGACAAAGACUUCCUGAGGCCUUAGCUUACCAAUCCAAAAGAAAGACAGAAGGCGAAAUUCUCUUACUACUGGCAUGGAAUUCGGUUUCUCACAGGAAGCAGGAAAGAGGACCCGGUGGAAUCUGCUCUUGGUGCCAUUUCACUUCUUGUAUCUCCCGCUUGCUUUCAUUCAAAGUCACUGGCCAGGAGAGAAAGCUCAAGCAUAUGCCUAUACUUAUCCCUGUAAUUGUAUUAAAGAGAACGACAUGCCUAUAUUUUCCUUCAAGCUUUACUUAAGAGAACGACAUGCCUAUAUUUUCCUUCAAGCUUUACUUGGGAAAGAAUCCUAUUUUCGAACUUCCUUGCUCUAGCCCGCCGCUCUAUGAUAUUCUAGCUAUAGACCCAAUCGGAGAAUCUCUUAUCCUUUGCCUAGCCCUUGUUCGUGUUGCCCGCUCUAACCCUAUCUCGUUAGCCUUCUUCUUACUUACUCUCUGACUCGUCGCCUCUUCGUUGCAAGCGGAUGUGCGAUAUACAGCGGAUCAGCAAAAACCUAUAUGCUAAGCAGCUUCUUAUGGGACUGCGGAUAUACUCCUGGCUUUAGCUUACAGAGCAGUGGCUUGUCAGAAAAUCCCAGCACUCUCACUAAUUCCGCAGCUUGCCAUUUUCAGAGUGCUUCCUGCAAGCUAUCAUUUGCUUUUGCACGAGAAUCCGCUAUCCCUGAGGAACUGCUUUAUAACAAGUCGAAAACUAGAAAACGAGUAUCAAACUAAAACACCUAAACGGCUUAUGGUUGGUCUUACACUGACUUUCUCACCACCACUAGAUGCCCUUAUUAUUUGGAUUAAGGCUAGUGAGAAGACUGAGAUGAAACAUAAAUAUAGCCUGCUAGAAUAAAGACGGAAGGCUGUAGAAGUAACGGAUGUUUAUGGGAGCAUUGACGCAAAGGAGUUUAGCUUAGUUCCCGAUCUCGUGUUACCCCCGAAGUAUAAAGUCCCCGAGUUUCAAAAGUCUAAUUGGGCUGGAUGCCCCUCAACUCACUUAGCGCUGUACUGUCGCAAAAUGACGGGGUAUACUUAUGAUGAAAAACCACUAAUCCACUGCUUCCAGGACAGCUUAUCGGGAUCAGCAUGGAAAUGGUAUGUUAAGUUAGAUCGUUCGCUCAUCUACUACUGGGCAAGAUUUGGCUCGUUCCUUUAUGGUACAAUACAAGCAUGUGGUCGACAUGGCUCCAGCAUGUCUUGGAUUGAGCUUUCACUCCAGAACAUAGAGAAGAAGUCGACCGAAGAAUUCUAAGAGUAUGCCCAACGAUGGCGAGAUCUAGCUGCUCAAGUUCCGCCGCCUUUGACGGAAAAGGAGAUAACAGUAAUGUUUGUGAAUACCCUUCACCGGUAAAGCUCUUGGGAAGUGCUACCAAAAGCUUAGAGUAUAUGGUAAUAUCGGGAGAAAUUCUAGAGACAGCUAUCCAAAGUGGAAGAAUGGAAGAAUUCUAGAGACAGCUAUCCAAAGUGGAAGAAUGGAAGUAUAAACCACAAGCACCAAACGUGUCGGACCUCCUAAAAGAAAAGAAGGGGAAGCCCGCAAUAUCAGUCUGCAACUAAUCAAUUCCGUUCCUCGAACAUACGCAGAAACUCAUAACCUCUAUCGGCCAUCUCAGUCAGGUUCGUCACCAAGCAAUCCACGACCACCAAAGCCAUAGCUGCUAAGGCGAAAAUGAAACCCCAUCCCGAUGUCAUACACAGAACUCUACCCUCCCGUUGCUGAAAAACCAUUUUGUAGCCCCUGUCUAUGUAGAGCCGUUUCACCCUCCAUACCCAGCAGCAUGGUAUGAUGAGAAUGCCCGAUGCAGCUAUCAUUACAAUGUUGUUGGACACAGCCUCGAUAACUCCACGGCGCUAAAAUCGAAAGUAAAGAAUCCAUCUUCUUAAUGCUGAAAGUAGAAAAUCCAUCUUUCUUAUUAAUGCGGGGCUUCUCUCCUUUGGGGAUGAACAAAAACCGAGCGAGCGUGAAUGCAAAUCCUUUAACGAAUCACUGCGGAGGAUCUUUUCAUGCUGUUGAGGGUAAAUGAGAAGGUAAAGAUCAAGACAAAGGUAGAGGAAGCUCCAUUCGAAAAAGGUAUAUUACUUGUAUAAUAAAGUAAGGAAUACUGGUCUGGUCUCUACCUAGUUCCAAAAGACAGAGGAUGUAAUAACGCCACAAUGAAGAAAGGAUAGUUUCCGUUGAGUCGACAACUUAAGAUGCUAUUUCCAGAGUGUCAUCCGUGUCCUCUACCUCGGGGGUCUAUUGCUAAGGAAUCAGUCAGUAUAUUAAUGGGGCUUUCCUUGUUAAGUAAGUAUAUUAAUGGGGCUUUCCUUGUAGGUUUCGUAAGGUUGAAAGUCAUUUGUAUUGUCGAGAGGAAGAUGACUCCUAUCGCCAUGAAUAAAGGACUUGGGCCCAAGAAACAAGUCGUCCAGUGCUAAGGCGAGAGUUGUGGAAUGAUUUGUUGCUUUUUAUGCGAGUUAUCAGAUAUCUUCAUAGCAAGAAAGAUCCGUAUUUCUUUACUCUGCGCUCGCCUCUAAAGAUUCAAUGGAAUUCAUAAGUUCAAGUAAAGGGGUAUUAUAUAGAACAAGUCAUUCUUGGGGAAGAGGUGGAAGUUGCCAUUAAGUCUGAAGUAACGGUGAAGUAGGCUUUAGCUCCUCAGCUAUGAAGUCAUUGUCCCGACUCCUUGUCGUUGCGUAGAGAGGUUAUUGGCUGUUGCAGUAAGAUCAGAAGACUAGUUAAGAAUUUCGUAAAUAAGAUGGAUCUUCAGCAAACAGUUCUGCAAGUCGAGUUCUUGUCGGGGAAUCAGAAAGGGAAAGGGAAGCUAUGUAUUGACUUUGUUUCUAUACAACCUUCUAGAUAUCUUCAUCCUCAUCUUAUCUUUCUCACGGUGGAAUAAUCUGCGCAAAGGGGAGUUCUAGUAUUGUCUGCAGCAGAAUUGCCAGUAACAGUUCUGGAUCAUAUGCUAUUACUGGCUUUGAAGCGAGGUGUCAAUCAGUUGCAUCCGUUUGUCUUAGAGAAUCGUGUAUCUAGAACGAAGAGGUUAAGCGGUAAGUGAACGAGUGCCAAAGUCAGCCGAAAACAGGUGCAUUAAUUAAGGGCACAGGACUAGCUCAAGAGAAGAUAAAGGAUCCGGAGUAGAGCAACUGAGUAGGGGAGAAAUAGGUAGUAGGGGAACCUAUGCUUUAAGUAAGAAAACGGGGAUUCUAACCAGAGUUACUGCCCCCAGAUUGAAUCUUUCCUGUCGAUAGGUGAGCCUGUCUCCACAGCACGUUAGCCUGUCUCCACAGCACAGCUCUUUUUAGGUAGGAUGGAUUCUUCUCGAUGUCACAUACUAAGAGAACUCGAGUCUUCCUCAGUCGAUCGAACAGAACAGCACUCCGGCCUUGAUCUCACUUCAGGCAUAAAGAAAGACCGACCCUUUCUCUACAAUAUACUCGGGUGUUUUUGAUAUCAUGAAUUGAGCUAGCUGGAAUUCUCUGUCCUUAACGACUUUCAUUCUCUGUCCUUAACGACUUUAUUUGAUUACUCGCUAGUUCGUUUAGUAUGUUUGCUAAUCUAGCCCCGGAUUUAUUCUCCUACUUAGCCGAGUUCUGUGUAUUUCACUCACUUAUUGGUCUGUGUAUACUAAUGAUUGAUUGUAUUGCUUGUUUCAAACCAAACCUAGCCCAGCUGUACCUUAGCCUGCACCCUCGUCCAAGGUCUCUGUUCUAAUGAAACUGUAGCCAUCGCUGCCAGCAGCUGACGCUGACCUUGCUUAUGGCCCUAUUAGCCUGUCUUGACUUUUGAUCGAAUCCUUUCUUACUGGCCUUCCCAGCUUACCUAUUACUUUCAAGUUUCAUUAUUACUUGCCCUAUCCCUUUUCUUAUACCUUAUACUUAUUAUUAUACCUAUACCUAUAGGCGCUAGAUCACAUACCCUUUCUUACUAGUUUUGUUCUCGGCUCCACUGCCCUUGAUCCCUAGGUUCUAUUUUCAUUCUGGAACUUUGAUUGGCCCAAUUGUUAUAUGCCUUUGUUUCGUUUGUUAGCAUCGUAAUAGUAGUUCACUCCGGCACUGAUCUAAAUCUGACAUUCCAGGUAUAGUAUAAGAGCAAUACAGCCCUACAUUUACCAUAGUGAUUAAGAAGAAGUUGCAGAACGAACUACUACCCGCACUAAUUAGAAUCAAAGAAAUAAGUAGGAAUCUAAACCUGGCAACAAGAUAAGAAAAAAGCCUGACUUAUGAAAUAAUUGACCUCGACAAGCAAAUACUAGGCCCUAUGCUCUUAUCAGAUACUAGGCCCUUGCUCUUCCUCACAGUUUACCACGAUAGACCAAUAAAUCUACAUAGCUUUAUUGAAAGGUGGAGCUUCGCGGUCAGCCAAGGCCUUAGGAGCGCUGCAGGUGAUUCUCUCCGCUUCUGUUAGUUCUUUCCCUUCCCUCCUCGGUGCCUCUUCCUGGCUACUCAACUCCAAGUCGGGAUGGUUGCAACAGCUUGUACUGGCUAAACAUCUCCUAUCUUUCUAUAGUCUAUCCCACUCUGACACUACUAUAUCAGAGGAAAAGUAUUGCCCGUCCUGUCCUCACUGAGUUGAUCUGGUGCCCACACUGUUGUUAGUCCUCUUUGCUUUAUUGGCUAAAGCACAUAUCCUGUCCCUUGACCGAUUCGAAAUGCACAAAAGCAUUGCAGAAAGAGAUGAUCGAGUAUCUUAAGCCAUCCUAGGCGGUUCUCCCGUAGCGUCUCUGCCGGAUACUUUCUAAGGUGUUGGUUUUUCUUCCUAUCCGAGGUUAUCAUCUUCUACAACUAGGGUUUUCUCUUUGGGACAGAUUGGAUCUCGUCAACUCCUUAGCUUUACCCUCGGGGAACUCCCUUUUCGCCUUCGACAUAUGAGAGAGAUUUCUACCAAAUACAAAACUCUGGAGUAUACCAUAGAACUCCAUACUCUCGUUUUACAUCGACAAUUUGAACCUCACAGAACUUUGACAAAGUGCAGAUUUCUUUCAUUCAUUUAGUUAGUUAUGUGCUUCCCCAUCAGGGAAGGAACGCACCCUCUUGCAUUAUCUUCCGAUUCCCUUAUAUAGGUUUGGGAAGGAUACAUUGUUGCUUCCCUUAUAUAGGUUUGGGAAGGAUCCAUCAGUUACUUCAUGGCGAAAAAAGUGAACCUUGGGAGGAACGAAAGCCAGACAUAUCAAAUGGAGGUGCCCAGAUUAGAUAUGAGCGAGGAUGGGAGAAUCCAGUUAAGGAAACAAAGAGGGAGGCCUUUUCGCUAAGGUCAUCUUAAGGAUUACAGGGCCUAGCUUACUUGCGUGCUAGCGUUACUGCUUAUGUGCUUGCCCUCCCCUCCGUCUUUAACCAACUCCCAUUUCAUCUAGGCUAGUGCUUUAGUCCUUCUCCCAUUUCAUCUAGGCUAGUGCUUUAUUCCUUCUUUUCCCACCACAGCAACAGGAAACUCUCAAAUAAAUGGUCAAAACCCAAAUACCCCGAUCUCGCUCUUGACUUUCGAAUAGGAGAUAUUUCCUCCCAGGAUUUCCAAGAGGAAAAAUGCAUGGAAAGGAAAGCGAAGACUACCUGAAAAUAACCCAUCGUAACGGAGACUCCUACUUCGAAGGCUCCCACGUUAUAGACUGGAAAAGAAAUAGACUAUUCACAACUAGGGCCCCGGCCCGGGGACUGAGACAAUGGCUUACAGGGCUUCUGACUUCUGGAACCUAUUCGUCCUACACAAGGGUAAGAUUCCAGAUGUUAGUAGAAGCACACCAGCUUGAUAGGCAGAUGAAGAAAAGAAUAGUUCGAAAUAUGCUGAUAGUACCUAGUUAGGCUUUUUCCAAUCCUCUGCUAAAGAAAGAGCCACUUCACUUAUGCUAGCUUUAAAGAAGUAUUUCUAUUUUAUAGGUAUGGAUUCAGACUUCAUCUUAUAGGUACUUCUGGGCCUACUUGCCCUCAGUGGAUACUCUCAUCUCAAUACAGAAUAUACUUCAUAGUCUCAGACUGUGCUAAAGUGCACUUUCUCCUCAGGCAAUUGUGAAGAACCAAAUCCUUAUAGUUCUAUUGAUAGCUUCCUUGCUUUGCCUUGUAGGGAACUCUUAGGAUAAUCUCUUAUAUCAAUCAAGCAAGCUUCUGUCUUCUUGUGUGAGCUUUGCCUUGUAGGGAACUCUUAGGAUAAUCUCUUAUAUCAAUCAAGCAAGCUUCUGUCUUCUUGUGUGAGACAAGAAAUACCUCGAUACUUACAAAGAUGGGUCCGUAACCUUACUUUUGUCUUUUUCUUUUUUAGCGAGAUAGAGUCAAACAAAGUCAAGCCAAAUACUCUUAGAAAGCCUAGCUCUUUGAUUUUAUUACCGCUCCCCUUGGGAUUCCAUCCAUCCUUUCUUAUGAUCUUUCUAUACCACCAGAUCAGGGCUUUCAUAAGGUUCCACUUUUCCUAUUGCCCACUACUAUCUUUGACCACUACUCACUGAUUCACUGGGAAUCUUUUUGCUUCUGUCUAGUUAGCUCUCUAGGCAGUUACUGAUGCAAUUCUUUCGUAGGGCGGGCGAGACGUAGAGUCUCUAUAAUCUAGGUCUCAGUAUACGGCUGGUAAAGCUUGAUAGGUCUCAGUAUACGGCUGGUAAAGCGUGAAUUCAAAUACCCUCUGAUAAUGCUCUCCCACUUGCAGGAAGUAGAACUUUCACAGUUGGAGGGGCUCCCUUUACUUCGCUUGCUGCCCUAUUGAUCCCAAAAGGUAAAUCAACCUCAAAGCAAGCCCUAUUCCGAUAUAUCCACCGGGGGACAUGGUUUGUGAUCUUACGUGAGAGAAGAGGUUGGAUGGUAUAGAGUCGGUGAUGCUUCAAAAUGCAUGCUUCAGCCAUCACCAAGGCCUUAUCUUGCAGAGGGGGAGCUUUGUCCUUUAGUCCAAGUCGAAAGCGCUAGCCUUAUUAGUGGAUGGUUCUUACCGACCCAAAAAGCCUGAUUCACUCCUAACCGACGAAUAAGGAACGAUCUUUGAUCACAAACGGUACUAGAAAUAGAAAGAAAGCGAGAUUGCACGAUAGUCAAAGUAAAGCAAGGCCAAGCAACUAGGCAAGUAGACAAGUCGUUGCGCAGGGAUGCUCUUACCGUAGUGCCCCCUUCUUCCAGCUUUGUCGGCUUUCUUUCGUAUCGGCCUCGAAGCCAACUCACAAGCUUUCGUAUCGGCCUCGAAGCCAACUCACAAGCUACAGCUAAUCUCCUAAUUUCCACUUCGGUAUUUCGCCAAGUGCGAUUAUAUGAAGAAGUAGAGUCAGGAACUACCUUUCAUUCUAUAGGGCCGUUCUUCUCCUCCAACCAGAAAGGGGGUUACAUUCAAUCCAGUGCCAUCACACCCACAGUUCAUUUUCUUUCCUAGGAUAAACCCAAUCUUUCUUUUCUCGAUGCCCUUUUUCGAUUGGUUAUGGUUAGAAAGAAUGGAGGAAAACUAUCCCAUACUUAUAAGUCUAACAUGCUUGCAUCACAAAGUCAGUCUAACAUGCUUGCAUCACAAAGGGAGAAUUCCACUAAGACAUACAAGAGGUACAAAGAAAAGAGAACAAGCUAAAUAGUCCAACAUCAUUUUCCAAAGUUCUAUUCAAAAACUAAGGGUGGAAGAAGAGUGCAAAUGUUUACUUCAACAAGCCAUAUAUAGAAAACAAGCCAUAUAUAGACUUUCUUAUUAUUUCCCAUGUUGCACCUUGCCGGCCACUUCGUUCACUUGGCUUUCUCCAAAGGCAUAAGAAAGCAUAUAAGAUAGGCAGAACCCAUUCACCAGAGGCUUCUAGAAUGUCUUAUUUGGUAAAGCCAAUCAACGGAGAUAAGGUAAGGUACUCUUAACUCUCGACAAAGAAGAAAACGAAAAAGCAAGAAGUACCCUCAGAAUUUGGAAUUGACCUCUCCUCCAUCCUGCCACCCUAGUGCUCUGUGCUCUGAACUAGGAAUUGAAGAAUGGAACUGUAACCAAAAAAGCAAGAAGUCACCUAGAAAUGAAGACUGCAACAUAAGGUAAGAGAUAGCGCAUUGGACGAAAAGGUAGAGCAAAAGCAGAGGAAUCAGAAUGUAAAGUAGUCUACUGCAACAUAAGGUAAGAGAUAGCGCAUUAGAUAAGAAGGAACAGAACGGAAUCCGUCCCCCACUAGGUAUGUUCUUGUUACCCGACUAGAGGUAUAUUAUAGAAGCGGUAGCGAGCGCCAAGUAACGCAAAGACAACUAUCAUAAUCAACUUAUACCACAUAUAUACGAUUUAUGAGUGGUUAUUACAACACCUGUGCCCUUCCGUCAAGGCGACAAGCUACUACUAGACGAGUCACUACAACCUUCGUUUUUUCUCUACCACUUGCUUUGACUUCGACUGAAGAUAAGUAUUCUGAUCCAGCAGAUGCUGAUUCCACUGGCUUAAACUCAUUCUGAAAGAGGAGCUUAUGUCACUAUACUAGCAUGGCUUCACACAAGCAUCCGAACCUACAUCCACGUCUUGUUGGGACUGGCAAUACUUAAGCCUCAGUAAAUUCCAAAAUAAUCAUAUAUCUAAGCUUAAGGAAUAAUCAUCUGUUUGUCUACGAGUUCCAUAAGCCGAAUCUUCUCUUUAUUUUGAUUAAAUGAAAUGAAUAAAUACCCACACCCCGCAUUGCAAGGAUGGUGAGUUUGUCCGGAAGGGCUGCACAGUGUCUUUCUUUACUUGGUUCUAUAUCAAGUGCUUCAAGAAAGGAGAGUUUCAUCCGUUUCUAUGCCCCAUGUGCUCAAUAGAUUCAAAUAAGAGGUAGAGCUCCAUAAGCUAAGAGGUGGAGUUCCAUAAGCUCCUAUUGUGGAAUUAGUUAGGGUAAGGCCUAGACUCUGUUUCCAUAGAAUAGGUAGUUUAAGGAAAAGAAGCAAUAGUUAGAUCAGGUGAAGGUACGCGCAGGAAGUAAAGGAAAUGGAAGUGAUAGUGAAAUCCUAGUCGACUCGAAUGGACUGUCAUGCAGGGUUAAGGUAAUAAUCUAGUACCUUCUUUUCCGCUAAUUCCGUUUCUGUUCUCAAGUAUGGUUCGGAUGUGUGUUUGUGUUGUUGGUGAAGAAAAAGGAGUGCGUAUACGAGUGAAGUCAAGGUAGAAAGCAUAAGGGGCUUAAGGGUGUAGAUCCCCGUUAAUAAGAAUGUGUUCUUCUAUGCGAUGCUCGAGAGUCAAGAGAUGGCAAAUUCCACAAGGCGCUCAAUGGAUUCCGCUAAUACUCCAGUGCCGUUUCCGCGCUUUCCUUUCCGUAUAGUUCCUUCGAGUGAAGUCGACAAGUUGUUGCAAGCUAUGUGGGAAGUUCAGUUGAGUUCGGAACGGAAAGUAUUGUUUGGUGCGACGAGCUUGUGAGAAAGCUUAAGUUAAGUAGGCUGUAGCUCCGCGUUCCUGUUCUAGUUCCAGAAGCAACAGAAGGAGAAAGAUCUGCUGAAGAAGGAUAAGAAGCCUGAAAAGCAACAGUUUCAAGUAAGUCAACAACUGGCUUGGCUCACUAACGCGUCAUAGUGACUUGUUCCAUUAUGCUUCUUUCUCUCCACUCUAGUAAAGUAUAGAACGGAGUAAAGUUUGUAGAACAGAAUUGCCAGAUUGACAGCUCUUUCCCUUUGUGUUAGUGCUUCCUUCAGUAAUUGGCUUUCCCUUUGUGUUAGUGCUUCCUUCAGUAAUUGGCUUUUCCUUUGUUCGUCUGUCUACAUUUCCGUUUGAUUUCGUGUUCUGGUCUGGCCCCUUAGACCUCUGAGAUUGUACCUUGAGAGUAGUUGCUCAUUUGCUCUUGCUCAUUUGCACUAUUGCUUGUAGGAGUUCCUGUGUUCCUAAUCCUGCUCUCAUAUAAUAAAGUCAUCUUACCUGCUUGUUAAAACCUAUUCCCCAGGACAACCAACCCUCUUCUCGACCUUAAUCACUCUGUUAGCGCGCUUAUUAUUCUAAGCUUGUAAAGUACUAGAUUAUUGCUUGCCUUGCAUCUUGGUCUGCUGACUCACUACGGACUCCUCGCUUGAUUGAAGCUUUUAUCACUCUGUUAUGCCUAACGAAACUCUAAGACGGAUAGUACUAUCGAAGCGCCCUACCCAAUAGAAUGAAAUGGAAAAUCAUCUCUUUCGCAUAAAUAAGUAAACUCACUGUAUUGCUUUCCCUAACCAUUGAAUAUCGGCAAAACUCACUCACUACAGCGCAACCCACAGUUUGAUGCUUGUUGGCUUAUGGAAGAUGGUGCACAACUGAUAGAAGAUAGGAACGAACCUAAUCUCAACCUUAGAAUCACAGAGCAGAGGACCGUAAGCGAUUUAAAGGACCUGUUUUCUAAUCAAACACCGUAAUGCGACACUCAAAAGCUCUAUUACUGCUCUGGUCUGGCUAUAAAGAAUAUGCACGCACAUACACUAAUAGAGUAGAGGAACGUAACCUAACGACUGACUAAACCAUUACUACUGAGGCAGGGGCAUCCGAACCUUUAACUAGACUUGAUAAGGACAAAGGCAGAGGAGAGGGUGAAGAAAGACAAGGAGGGUUCAGAAAGAAAGAGGCCCGCCGCACAGAUGGAAUUGAACUACUGAUUCUCUCGUCGACUUUCGGUGAAUAAAGACAGAGGUUCAGGAUGAAGCGAAAGAAGGGAGAUGUAGUAACAAGUACCCAUUUCUUUGAGUAUAGCGAGAGUUUAGGGCGAACUCACGUAAACACAACACUUCUGAUUCGUUGCUUGUUCCAUUGCGCCUCUGUUGCUUUUGCCUUUGACCUUGCGCUUGUGGCUUCUGGAAUUUCAUAUAUUCAUCUAAAUGCACACAUGCUAUAAAUCCAGUAAUUUGACAUAACUCCUAUCUAUGAGAAAGACUCACACUAACACACAACCUCUGGCGCCCUUGCCAAUACUCAAUUGAAUAUCUAGCUACCACUAAAUUGAUUAUGGUAGAAAAAUGGAUUAUGGUAGAGCAACACUGCCCGGACUCUGAAGUAUUAAGGAAGAAGUCACUUCACUGCGAAACAACAAAUAGCGUUAGGGCCAUCGCUAUUGUAAUUGAAUCUGAUACAAGCACCCCGCCUUGAACGAAAUGAUUAUUCCGCUUCUUCUGUGAGUUUACAGUGAUGUUACUGUAUUCUAUUGAGUUGUGUGCACUAGUAUUUCAGAUAUUUAUAGAACUAGCAAAGGGGGUGAGGAAGCAUCUCAUAUAUGGAACUCCUCAUUUGAUCUAGAAGGUUCCACUCUUCAUUUGGAUCGAUAAGGUUUUUCACCCAAAUUACGAUUAAUCCACUUAUAGUUAUGUGUAUUGCUAUUAAUAUACCUGAAAGUUGUUUGUAUUGUAUAUAUGAGUUGUAGGGUUGCUAUUCUAUACCUUUGUAUAGUAUAUGUCCAAGUCGUAACCGCUGUAGCUCCUUGUGUUUUCGUUCGGUUCUUGUGCGAAAGAACUCCUAACUACGUACUUAGUGUUGUGCCGUUGCGGAAGAACAAGCAACAUUGAUUGAGCUCCGUUAGCGAGCUACUUAAACGUUAGUGAGUUGUGCGUAAGUGACCCUUUUCUCUAUACUUAAUACUUUCAUUUGUGCACCGCUAGCCCUAUAUGAACUUAUAAGGUCUAUGAGCUUGCGUGUUGGAACGGGUUAGAACCUUACCAUACCUAUGAGAGCUUGCGUGUUGGAACGGGUUGGAACCUUACCGUAGUAUUCUAGGUUUGACCCUUACCUUGGACCCUUACCAUAGUAUUCCUGGGGUAAAGGAUAUGAAGCAUCAGAAGUGCCAGUGAUAGGGUGAUCCUAGUCUUAGAGCGGGUCUUCAAGGGUAGUUCGGUGCUAUAGGUGCUAUAGUUUCAUCCAAUGGUCAAGGUCGAGUUCAUUGCUACCUAUGCUAUGGAUACAGGCAAUAUAGUAGACUUGUCUGGUGGUUACUUGGCUGAUAGCAAAUCCGCCUGCCUUAGUUUUUCACCUAAUUCUUAUAUGCGUGAUAGGACCUGACUUUGGAGUUUCAUUACGAGUUUCCCUUCCGAUGUACCUUCCCUUCCGAUGUACCUUCCCUUCUUCGCCUCGGCAGCAACUCUUUCAUUUUGGCAAUGGAACAGCUCUACUAUUUCUCAAGAACUGUAUGACUAUUAUCUUUCCACUUGAUAGCUCUUGUACCGGUGUGAAGUCAACAUCAUGCUUAUUAUUUUCCUAGAAACAUAAUUCUUAUGAUGCCAGGUGCCCCUGCCUUCGUCCAAAGAGAGUAAAGCUGUGCCCAAUGACUUUAUGCCUGUGGUCGAUUAACUUAACAACAACUAUUGGGAUGAAACUAUUAAGUAGGAACCCAAACAAGGACAUCAAUAAUUUCACUAAGUAGUAGAGGAGAGUCUAAGUCUAAAUCAAGGAUGAAAUAGACAAUGUGGAAUUCCAAUCAAUAGUCAAAGAAUGACCUGCCCGCUAGGGGAUCCGAAGUCAGCUCAUUAUAGGCGUAGUAUCAUGGGGUGUUGGGUGGGCAGCCAGCGCUCUCUCUCAAGUAGUCAAAUUCUACUUAGCAUUGAAAGAAUGUGUCUCUGGAUGGACUAAUCAAACUCGCGAGUCGGGAUACCUGACAUAGCUCUAACGCAUUGAGACAAGGGGAAAGACUAUCGCUACUACCAUGAAGAAUUGCACUAGUGCUUCCAAGGCUCCACCGGAGAAUCAAACGACUAAAGGACUAUGACAAUAAGAAUGAAACGACAAAGGACAUUAACUAUAAGAAAGAAUCAACCACUACCCUGAAAGCCCAUUCGAAUUCCGCCUGCCAUUCCUGUCUCCUGGUCUUACACUCCUUUAUCUCAUCCUUGCUUCUGAGUUGUAGUCUUUUACUACUUAUAGCUUAGUCGCAUUCCUUAUUUCACUAUCAAAAGGCUUAAACUCCCCCGUCUUAAAGACUUGUUUGUUACCCACUCUGACCUUCAAGUCUGUAGUUCCAAUUAGGGUCUGACUUUCCUCUGGCUUUUGAGUUGCCCUUUGUGUUUGUUCGGGUGGGCAGUAAACCACUUUCCUCUUCUUAGUAUCGGUUUCAAACUCCAACUUGUUAGCAGCGUUCCCACAGCUUGCUUUCAAACUGACAUUACUCGCUUUCGAACUUACACCACUAGGAGCAAGAAUCAAACACUACCUAAUAGCCUCUAACUCGAUAUGCAGAAUCUUAAUAAGGAAGCAAAGACGGGAACUCUGGCAAAAUAAGGAAGCCAAUUACAAAUUCUUGGACGGAAGCCACUACUGUUUGGAUUGAACCCACUGCUUCUAGGACUGUCGCUCAUACCUUUCAUGCAGAGUCAAAUAAAAGAAUAGGGAAUUCCACUGUUACUAACAAGGCUGUAGCUCGAAACAAGUAAUUCAAUAGGGAAAUACAAGCACUAAUGGAAAGAACGGUAUUACUACUACCAAGAAUCGAAUUAGGGCAUACAAGGCCGAAACACUCUCAAAUAAGACACUUGGGCUGGGGACAGGGAUUUCACUAUUAUUAACUAAAGGAAUAGAGCUACCUUUAGUCUAGCACUACAGGACAUUCACCUUUCUCCUUCCCCUCCCUGUUGAUUCUCAUACCACUUUGUUCAGUUCUUAGACCGGGGUCAAACUUUCACUCCUUUCUUGAAUUAUGACUUUGGUUAGUCACUAGCCAAGUGCUCUUACUUGACGACUUCUGAGUCAAUUUCUUUAUUCUUAUAUCAAUGUCACAUACUAAUAUAAGUGGAAUUCUCCAUGCCUCCGGUCGGGCGUUCUUCUACAACUUAGUGGAAUGUAACUAACAAGUCAAAAAAAGCGAAACUACAACUCCGAACGAUAAAACAAACAAGCAAUACAGCAAGGCGGGAGUAUAAGAGUGAAGCUAAGCAGUAAGGCUCGGAAAGCUAACAAUAUGAUAAGACUAAAACAAGAGCAUAAGAAUUGCAAGCAAGGGUGUCCUAUUCGGUAGUUACAUAAUAAGAGUAAAGAGGAGCAGACUACCUGGCUGUAGUGACAUUCCGAGAAGCAGCAGCUACAAUGCGUGUUCUCCAGUAUAGAGAUUAUUAUGAGUAUAGGGAGGGUUCAUUCCGUUAGAGCAGGGAGUGGUUCCUCGUUUCUAGUUUCACCAUCUGCGGAGGGAUUGUGUUUUAUUCCCCCAUACUACUCAGUGCUCUUAGAAUUCCUGUACCCUAGUGGCUCCUAGCUAUGUGUUUCAUUAUUGCUUAUAUGGUUUCUUCCUGUUAUCAGUGGUCGGAUUCCCGCUUUAUGGCAUGGCUUAUUCCUUAUGCGUGUUUUCAUUGUUCUACAGCUUAGUUCCAUUCUGUUAUUUACUACUUCAAAGACAGAGUAAUAUAGGUGUGGAUUUCCUACUUUUAAAACGGGAGAGGUGGGCUAUCAAGCUUCAAAGCCAGAACUCCCCAAGUAACUGGACAAGUAAGCUCAGAUGCCACAUUAAGAAUUCGAAUGGAAGUUGUACACUAGUGUCGCGGCAGAGUCGUUGGUUACGCGGCAGUGGCCAAGUCACGACUAGACAAGUAACUACUAAUGACCAAGCAACUACUAAUGACCAAGCAACUAAGUAAGACGGGCAAGUCACUACUAACCAAGCAACUACUAGACAAGUAACUACUAAUGACCAAGCCACUACUAAUGUGGCGCGGUAGGAGCCUGAGUGAAACGUCAGCGAGCUAAAAGCGCGGCAGUGUUGUUUUUGCUACUAAUGUGUCGCGGUAGCGAGUGAAAAGCGGCAGCAACGAAUAACGACCACUAGGGAGUUAUGAGCAAGUCCUGUGCUCAAGUAAUAAACGAGUUAUUACUAUUUAUUCCGGAGUCCUGUCUUCAUGGCGGUAGCGAGCCUUUACCUACGGAGGGUUUCCAUUCUUCCUUUUAGUUAAGAGCACACAGUUCAGUUGGUUACCAGAUUCUCUAACAAGUGCUCAAUAAUCCAUUACAUGCUUUUCAGCGGGAAGGAGAGUUCUGCUAGCUCUAGCUCUAGGUCAAGUAUAAGGUUCCAGUGCUAGGAAAGUCACGAGGGUUGGUUGUCAGUUAGGAAGAAAUCUAGUCUAGAAACCUCCUUCCUACCUAGUCAAAACAAAGAAUUCCACAAGCCAGGCUUCAAACUAUUAACUGAAUUCGGAUCUCUUUUCUUCUUGCCUCAGCUCCUGUACUCAUUAACUCCCUGACUUUCCUCUUUCCCAAAACAAUUCAAUCCUCUUGCACUCCUCUACUAAUACACUCAUUCCUGUUUGCUACAGCGAGACUAGAAGCAUAAGUAGGGUUUUCAACUUAUAAUAAAGGCCAGUUCUUUUCUUGUUUCAAUAAGUAUUUCAAGGCGAGGAAGCUUUAUCAACUGAAUCCGGGUUUACAGUUCCUUAAAGUAGUGGUUCCGGGCGAGGUGCUUCUUCAGCUAAUGCAGUUCUUGUUUAAUACCGAGUUGCCCCUGUGCGAGUGAUAGUCUUCAUCCCUUUUGUUUCUUCUCUGUAAACUCAUACUUCUUUAUUGAUUGAUUUCCUUCCCUAGCACUCCUUCCUUUUAGAAGAGAGGCCGAGAGCAACUACUACGGAAGAAUAGAAUGGAUACUGCUUCAACAGGCACUGGGGAUCCAAAACUAUAGUACUUACACCAUCAACUAUGGCAGCAAGUGGGUAUCUCGGAAAGCACUCUCAUUCAGUUGUUUCUCAGCAUAUCCACUCUAUAAUAGUAGUUUACCCUUUUCUUCUACUAGAUGCGUUGGCCUAUGUAUUAUGUCCCCCCAUUCAUUCUUAUCUGUAAACUAGAAAUAUGGGUUUCUUAUCAUUGAAUGCGCUAGUAAGCCUUUAACUCCUAGUUCAUUCUUAUAGUAAGUAGAAGAGCCAAGCGUAGAGGCAGAGAAGUCCACUGCUUCCUUUACCUUCCUUUCGAACUGGUAGGCUGGCUGUUCUAUAUAACUAUUAUAAAGAUCAGAAUUGGAGACAAGCAACGGUACCAGUAUUUCAUUCAUCAAUUCCAUUCUUUUCUUUCGAGAACAAGUAUCUUCUCCAGCUUAGCAAUCCAAGUAUCUUCUCUAGCUUAGCAACCUUAGAAACUAGAGCAAAAAGGCAUAACUCAGUAUACUUAGUUACCUUAGAAAAAAGUCUAGGUAUUACUCCUAAGCAACUAGGCAAUCAGUUGAAACGAUACUUAGAUACAGGUACAACUACUUCUACUCCUAUUAAUACAAAGAAUAAGAGAGUAGUCUUCAUCAGUGGAUAGUAAGGUUAAGGCAAGGGCGGAAAGGGUGUUGAAUCUGCUGUGCUUGUUUCCAGAGAUGAAUUAGGAGAAUUGCCAGCCCUAUAUAUAGUUGUCAAAGGUAUUCCGUUGGGUCAGAUUCAUAAGAAAGGUAAGCUAUGUCUUUUCUCUGGAAAGGUAAGCUAUGUCUUUUCUCUUGACUAAAAUAAUCUAUAUCCCAGGCGCAAGAGAGUCAAAUUGAAAUUCAUUCCUUUACGAGAAAUUACCCAUCUUAUUGAAUACUAGAUGGUUGAUCAAGAGAAGAGCACUAGGGUGGCUAUAGAGCAACCAAGCAACGAACCAAGCAGGCGCAAAGUAACUACUAACCAAGAGGGCAGUUUCUCAUUCCAUUCCACUUACACUGAACAGAGAUUUAUUAACCGACGACACUGUAAACUGUAUACUCGAACCCGCUUGCUACAGGUGCUAAGAGGUCUUACCUACCACAUCCAAGAGGUCCUACCUACCAUAACUCGGUGUUGGGAAAGCUUUCAAAUAGGCUAUUCUUGUCGUUUAAGGCAGGGGAAACUCUAUUACGGGAAAUUGACCAUGAAGAUAACUAUCGGCUGUUAUAGUGAAUUUGAGCCUAACAUCUUGAUGGCGAACACCAGAGGAUAGGUAAGGAAACUAGAUUCUUUAAUUCAAUUGAAAAGUGGUAAGGGAGUGAAUUACUAGACUAGGGAGUUCAAGAGUCAAUCAAGUAGUAAAUAGUAAAGUAGUUGUCUGUUGAGUUGAGUUCAGAAACACUAAGCGGAAGGGAGCUAGUUGUCAUAGGUAUUGUAUUGUUGCCAGAAGUAGAGGAGCAAGAGGAAGUCUGCUGAGCUAUAAAGUACGAAGAAAACCGGGGAUAGGAUCCUGAAAGUAGUAGUCCAGUGGAAUCUAAAGUAGGAGUCGCGUAAGGGAAUAAGUUAUCUACAAAACAAUACUACUAGGAGCUACAGCACCUAUUUUUGAUGCAGAUAUAUAAGUGGCACAGGACAGAUUCUACUGCUUUGAGGCGAGGUCUAGGUCUACUUAAGAUGUUGGGUGCGAGUCUAGGUUCGGUUCGUUGUUGACGACUCGAUAGUUUCGGGUGCUCCUGUUGUCGAUUGUUCAAGUGUAGUUCAAUUGUCAUUGAGAUAGAAUAGCGACCCUAUUGCUCUGAUUUCAUUCCAAUACUAGGGAUCGGGCUAGUUUACUUACAUGUUGGGGUGUGGGUAGGCGUGUCUUGUUAGGGGGUAGGCUUGUGUCACUCCUUAACUAGGGUAUGUGAUUCACUUCAAUUGACUAGCGAACCUUCCCUCUUGCCCAGAGGCAUAGAGUGAUGAAGCUAUUAGUUUCUUUCUAAAGAAUAGAGUUGGAGAGUAGACUUAACACCUUAGGAAUCACAACACUCCCAAGAAAAGAAAUUAGGAUUUGUUUGGAUCUGAUCUAUACUAAUUUACUACUCAAUGAAUUCUAUUAUUAUUAAGGAGAAAGUUGAGAAAGAGAGAAGCAACAGGGUCGGGGUGAACACUUAUAAGAGUUAGGGUCGGGCAAGACUAAGUGAGGAAGAACAGUGGGAGUGGAGUCUACAGGCGAGGAAGCGAGGUAUCUUCACCAAAACCCGAGGUGGAGGAGCAAGAGCUGGAUAAGAAAGAAUAUAACUCAAUCGGAUAAGAAAGAAGGUAUAAAACUACUGAUCUAACUGGUAAAGAAGGAAGGAGCUGCGUCUUGUAUCAAAAUAGUCAUUCUUGAAUCAGAGGAAUAAGCUUUGAAGAAAGCAAUAAAGUCUUAGUGCGCGUUAGGAAGUUGUUCAAUGAAUUCUGGAACUCAUAGCUCUCCAUCUGGUGCUCAAGCCUUAACUUACCUUCUCAAACACGCUGAAUACAAACUAGUAGAUUUCUUUUCUUGUUAAGUAAACAAAAGCAGAAGAAUAAUCGUGAAAGCAAUUGAAAUGUGCAAUUACUGUUUGACUUGCGAGUUAGGGUGGGGGUGAACUCAUCGGUAAGAGCCAAGACACCACUAAAGGAAGAAAAAACAAUCAAUGAGAAAUCAAAAAGAAUCCAGAAAAGUCGACAAGGCUGCCGCGCUUUUAGCUCGUUUUAGCUAUUAGCUCGCUACCGCGUAACAUUAGUAGUGUAUUGGUGCAUCCACAUCCAGUAUUUUCACUAAGUAGUCAAAGUAGGGGUCGGCGAGCUAGUCCAGAGUAGAGGUCUGCAAGGUAAGAAAGAGAAUGCCCAGUGCGAGGUCCAGUGAGAAAGUAGAGUUCCUGCUCGAGUGGUUAGUUUCAAGAGCAAGAUCAGAGGUAAAGUACUUGCUUUGAAGCUAGGUGGGAGCUAGGGAAGUUAUUCUUAUUGGGCCAAGCAACUAAGUAAGACUAAGGGCGCUCUUAUUGUAAGUUCAUGAAAUAGUAAGUUCUACCAGUGAGAGCCAAGUCCUGUGUUCGGGUGCUGAAAGCCUUUUCGACGUAUACUUAAUGCUCUCCCAAUCAAGGAAGGGGUUUAUUGAACUUCUUAGUAGCUGGUUCAGCACUCAGAAUCCCGCCUCCAUCCUAUUUCUGAUCGCUCGCUGUCUACUAAAUCAACUACGCCUUCCUUUGAUCAAUAAGCCGCCCGCAUCUUUCUUUCUUUCUUCUUUAUUAAUCUUUCUUUCUUCUUUAUUAAGUAAAGUAGACUCAGAAGUGAGAAAUUCCCAAUCUCUUUGUUUGUUUGAAGCCAGGAAGCGAAGCUUCUACUUGCUUGUUUAAGCUUUGCUUCCCCAAAUUCCAAUCCAACUAGAUCUUUUCAAUUCCAAUACAACUAGAUCUUUUAUUUAUUAGAAACAAUGGGGCUUAUCUUUCUUUGAUAGCGGGGCAUAGGGAGGUUUCAGAAAGGAUCUGAUCUACGAUGAAUACUGAUGAAACCUGUGCGCGGGGGUAGGGGCGGAUGUAGCCAAGUGGAUCAAGGCAGUGGAUUGUGAAUCCACCAUGCGCGGGUUCAAUUCCCGUCGUUCGCCCAUAACUAUAUUGCAAUUCAGAAAAUGGAAUUGGAUAUUGGACUAUAUAUUGCGACGAAGAAGAACACUAAAAAACGAGAUCUUUCGCUUUUCCUACUUCCUCUUGCAAGUGCUGGAUAACCCCAAGGCUAAAGUGGUUGUGGGUUUUUUCCAUCAAUAGGGGCUCCCCCUUCACCGCCACCAUUUGUAUGGUAUACUGGGUGAAUAUAAUAACCACUCUUAUAACUACAGGACACUUACCUAGCCUAGCCAACACUUAGAUCCGGCUCUAACCACACCUUUUUGGCCCAUCAUUACCUACUCGUCCAACUGUUGCUAAGCUGCUUUUGGAUAUCAAACAGACCUCUCCCAAGAUAGUCAGAUUCAUGUGGCCGAUUGACCCUCCCCAUCCAGAUAGUCAGAUUUAUGUAGCCGAUUGACCCUCUCCAUCCAGAUAGUAAGAUUUAUGUAGCCGAUUGACCCUCUUAUUCGAACUUACUAAUGCCGUUACGCUCCAAAUUAUUGACUUGUGCCUUAGCGAGCGAAUCAACUCACUUGUUGAAAAGAGUGAAAGAAUAGAGGAUAGACCCGUUACUUUGAAAAGGAGUGAAAGAAUAGAAGACAAUAAAAUCAGAUAGGUCCGUAGCUUUGAAAGGAGUGAAAGAAUGGCCAAGCAACUCACUACCCUUUCUGACCUGACCUCUACCUUACUCUAAUAAGUGCCCGACCUAUCUACCACUACUAAGAAGAAUCAAACUGUGCACCAACCAGACUGAAACUAAUCAAUUACAGAAUGGGACUAAGCAGUAUCGGAACCUAACCACUGACAACCAGACUGAUACCGGGUAGACUCAGAACCAAAGCAGUGCUAGCAAGAAUGAGAGAAGGCCAAAGGCGCCUGACUGUAAGAAUGCAACACUGCCUUCCGAGCCUGAUAUUAGUGCAUCUCAGACCGACCCGAGUGACAGAACGAAACAAGCUAGUUACAGGCUGAAGCUAGUUAGUAUGGGACUGUGGACUAGGUACUCAGAAUCAAACCAGUGAUACUAACUUUCAGAAUGCAACCGGGGAAUCAGGGUAUGGGCCGCUAAGGGAUAGAACGGAGCCUCUCUUUAGGUAAUCAGAAUUGCACUCAUGAGCCGGGUGCUCGAAGGUAGGGUUACAGAAUGAAACUAAGCAGUAUCAGAGUGAAACUCGGUUGAGCUAGUAGGCAAGUAGGAAAGAGGUGAGGUUUUAAGCCCAUAUAGUAGUUACGCGGCAGUCCGGGCAAGAAACCCGAGUUAAGAGCAAGCAAGUCCUGUGUUUGUCCUAAAUAACUCAUAUAAUAGAGUUAGUUGCUGUUAGGCACAAGUCUUAAAGGUGAACUAAGAUCUUUUCUCUCGACUAAAGUAAGUAAGUAAGUAGUAGUUCUGGGUGGGUGCACCUCCGCCUCUUCUCCUGCCCGUAGUCCACUAAUUCCAUUCCAUUCUUAACGUUAGAUGAGGCUUAUCAAUGGUAGUUCUAAGGAAAACCAUCCUUCUUUAUCUCUUCUUCUGAGGAAGAUUUCAUGUUGUUUGCUGUGAAAGCUAGUGAGCCAUUUAAGUUCAUAGGCAAGGUGCUGUGUAACGAAGACGAAAGUCUGUCGAAUGUGUGAGUGCGAUAACUCCAGAUGCAUCUGCGAGUGCUGAUCCCAUUAUGAGUCACCUUUUGCUUAACCAUGAAAUGGGAAGACGAACUCAUCUUCUUCCGUCUUGGGGCAAGGCAAUCAAAUAGAAGAUUGGUACUUGUGCUUGCGGGACGAGCUUAGGGAGUACUAGUAUAAGGAAUUGGAUGUUUCUAAGCAUCCUCUUAUUGAGUCUCGGUUAACCAUAAAGCUGGUUCAAUCCCUCUUUAUGCCGUUGGUAUAUGGGAAAACAGUCAAUACUAUGAGUACUUAUAUAUAUAUGAAAGCUUAUGACUCAUUGCUAAGUAUAAAGGAGAGUGAUAACAUAGCUAAACGCAGCAAAACAUUUGGAUCGUAUAAAUAUCCUGAUAUAGCUAAGGGAAUGAAGCUUAUUAAUGAAGCUUAUUUAUUGACGGUUGGUUUUGUUCGGAUAAAGAAGUGAUUGAUAGUAUUCCUUGCUAUACCACAGUGCAGUAUUAUAUGCGGAAUGACAGAAAAUGGAUCUUGAUGAUAGAGUUCACAAGACGAAACAUAAGGUUAUUCUCCGAGUUCCUACAUGAAAGAAAAAGGGAUCUUGCAAGAGUGCUGUGUCUACCUGCGCUUUAUACACCAGAAAGAUGCUUUUAUUGCUAUGAAAGGUUAUUGAUUGGAAUAGCUUUUAAGGUUGGUCGGGACUCUACCCUUGCCUAUCACUGGGUAGGUGAUCCUAUCCUAUUCGAAGAGAACAUUUAGACACAAUUCUUUCGAAUCUGUCUACAUCGGAAUUGCUACCAAAAGAUAGAAAGUUAUGGGAUAAGAAGAAAUAGGAAUUUAUUGAGAGUGACCAAUGCUAUGUGGAUACAGUCAAUGGUAAAGGCUUUAAUACACCAACACCAUCGGAAGGUAGUCACCUUCAUGUCGAGAAGUGGAACACAUUUGAGGAAGAGCUCUCUUGGGAGCAUUCUAACUACAGCUUCCAGUAUAUAAAUGCAGAAAUAGAAAGAAACAUGGUAGGUGGUUUGACAACAAGAAUACCAGUAUAUAAAUGCAGAAAUAGAAGGGAUAGGUGGUUUGACAACAAGAAUACCUCCUCUUCUCAGAGUUCAGAAGAGUCAGUUCUAUAGAUAUUGGAAUCGUUCACUGAAGUAAGUCAAUCGAUUGGGAUAAAUGGUGGGAUCUAUAUAAAGGACAGAGAAUAGUAGCAGUUGGAUUCAAAAAAGAUUCCCUGCGCCAGAGGUUAAGACUAUUCUGUGAUAGCAUUGGUAGUAAUGCGACUGUUAAUGAUGUAGUUUACCCUACUGGGGUAUGGUAAGGCAGCCGUUUUUUAUACAAUGAAAACACCAGCAGGAUAUGAUGUUACCUAUGCAAUUGGUAAGGCUAUUUCUGUAAAUGAUUCUAGCGGUCAUGCUGUUCCUUACGCGGGUUUAUAUGAUAUGAUAGUCAAAUACGCAAUGCUACAAGCAGGGAAGUAUGAGGAAGCUUUGCUCGUAGGUUGACUUUGAAAGCUAUUCUUUAUGGUAUUAACGAGGAUGCCUCUUGUCUUGACUUUACCCCGAUUAGAUUCUAUUGGUAGGAAAGAUUGGGGAAUUAAGGUAUUCCGGCAUAGGUGGUUCACCAGCAGAAGCGAAAUCUAUGGUUAGGAGGCAUCGCAUCGUCCUUAUACCGAUCAUGUAACUGCACUCAAACAAACCAACGAGUCAGGAAAGAAAGGCUGCCUUUUAUUGUUUGUUGUCGAUAUAGAUACUUUUCUCGUAAAUGGAGUUAAUGUACCUUACUGUGCGGGUUUCUUAGUGGUUAAGCUUGGUAUCAAAGGAUGGCGGUACAAGAGCGGGUAACGGUGCACAUAAUUCAUAAUCAAAAGAAGUGAGUUUCUGGGCGGAAUCAGGAUCAUAAUAUGGAUAUGAAGCCGAAGCCAAAUCCACUCUUAAAGAAUACCCAUGUAUCGAAGAUCUGGAUCUACCUGUUGCGCAAGGGCGGUUACAGCACCUGAGAUGUCGGGUUCAAAUGCAUUUAUACAGCCGAUACGUAGCAACAUAGGGAAUUUCUCAUAAGAGUUCGCGGUCUUGCUUAGUUGCUUGGCCCCUCGCAGCAGCACUUAUAAGAAAUACUUCCUUCGCAUUCAUUCAUUCUUUCUUUCCCGCUCUACCCCUUACUUUUGAACCGACCCGCUUCUGAAUUCUCUCGUGGACAACAAGGGUAAAGCUCUUAGCCAUCUGACUUAUAAUACGGCUGGCUAAGCCCUCGGCAACUACCUUAAUUAAUCCCGGCUGCGCUAAACUUAACGACCGAACCUAUGUCUUUAAGUCUGAUCUCUGAAUUUGCCGGGCCUCUUAUCAAUUCAAAGAAGUGCUUAGUUAUUACUCAUAACCUGGAUUUGUCAACGUAAGCUAUAUUUCAAGGUCGAAGGGUUUCUAGGCAUUGAAAAGCAAUCUACCCUGGAAAGCUGUCGUAAAGCUAUAUGCUCAAUUCUAACUGCAGCGCUUACGCCCCUUAUGAUUAGACAAUUUCUAGAGUGGAGCCAAGCUAACAUACUAGGAUUCAUUCGUGAAAACAGAAAGAAGACGGGGACGACUCUAAUGAAUAGAAUCAGACUAGCCAAAAUCCAUACUCCUUUCCUAAUAAAGGUGAAUUUCUUCUGAAAUCGAUGAAUCUCGGCUACGGCUUGCCCCGCACCUGGACUGGCUAUCUCGAUAGAAAUGUAUUCAUCACCACCCAUCUAGAAAGAGUUUCAAGAGGUCGUACUUCCUCCCAGAGCGGAAAUAGCAUGGCGUACCUUCAACAUGGGCUCUUUCCUAUUUUGGAAUAAGGCAAGUUACCUGUCACAAGCACUUUCCGUAUAGGAAUGAAUUCUUCUCAAAAGAGGAUCUGGCUUCGCACCUUCGCCCGGAAUCUAACAUCUCGAUCUCUCUUUCCGCUACUAGAACGGAGAAGAUACCGCUUGCCUCCUUGCCUACUUGCUAUGUGCUCGGUUGCCAGCAGCUUGUUUCAAUUGGAUUUCCCAGAACUAGACUAUCUGAUUGCCCCCGAAAACAGGUGUCAUCCCAACAACCGGUUAUUCCCCACCCGAUCUGGCGUUGCUUGCCCCAACUCAGCGGUUAAAGCCUUAUUGUUUCCCGCGCCUACCUCGACACUCAGUUCAUCAUGUCAUUGCCUCUGAUCUUGUAUUGCAACACCCGAACUACUAGACUUUAGAACGUAAACAGCUCUGGAAUCCUAUAGUCUUGAUUGAUUGUAUCUCUCUAAGCCAACUACUCCGAUAACGAAUACCCAUGUUUUAUAGGCAAAUAUAGGCUUCAAGUUAACUCUAACACAACUUAUGUAGUUUUCUGGGAAAUACUUCAGUGAAUCCGACUAAGAGAGCAACGAAUGCAUUUAUUGUGUAUACCUUAACCUAUCCUUUACUGGUCCUAUACUCUGAAAAGAAGAAUACUAAUGAUACAACUCACACCAAUUGCACUAAAGGGAAGGACUACCCGGACAAAUACUAUCUAUAAUCAUAAGGAGCGGGGGAGCUACACUAACAGUACUACCAGUGCCUACUCAGAAUGUCCCUAAGCAGUAUCACGAUGAAACCGGUGCUAUAGACAAGGCGAUCAGAAUGCAACCACUGCCUUCCAGUCUUAGCAGUAAGUGAUAGGCCAGUUCCAUCCAUUCAAGACUUAUAAGCUAUUAAGUGGAAUUCAUACUAUCGAGAAGGAGCAACCAUGCCUAGUGCUAGUAAAGUUUCUCUCGACCCCGAGUUUUGUCUAUCUAUAGUUUUCGUAUGAAAGGAGAGGAAAUGCAAAAGGGGAAGAACUAACAGAAGCAGAAGAGAAGCACAGAGAAUAAACUGCCGUUAAGUCGUCAGCAGAAGAAUUGAUAGUUUCAGUUCGCUAAGUCAAUACAGAAUGACACUAGAAAGAGGGAUUCCCUCGCCGGUGGUGCAUACUAUGACUAAACUAAGAUCUGUACGAGUAGGUAUAGGAAUAAUAGGCGCUAUAUGCGCUUCAACAGAAUAAGUAAGCAUUGCAGAAUUUCAUCUGUAUUUGUUGACUACGGUAUAUGAGGCAGAGAGGCGCCAAUAAGUUCUCUCGAAUACUUUCCCAAUUACUUUAGGGCUGCUGACCUUCAACUUAAUGCUCUUUUCUUUUCCCGCAGGUGCCCGCACUGUUAUUGUAAGGAGUGAGGCCAAGCAACCUUUCUUUCUUUCCCUGAACUGCUAGCCAGUACUUUCUUCUUACCCGAGAACUACACUUGAAACAAGGAAUGAAACUAAAGCAGAGGGCCAAUCAACAACUACUUCAGAAUGGAAUUGACUUCUUUCAACAAGCCCUGCAGCUGGCUACUCAAACUAUUCACUCAAUUCUUUACCGCGCCUUAGCAACAAGUAAUCUCAAUAGGCUUUCCUCGCACCGUUUGUUUCCUGUUUUUGUAACCUAAUUAAUAGCUAAAGUGAAGCUUUCCACUACGCCGCUCAACUCCCCAAUAUUUAAGUAGAGGCCGAACAAGACUCUGUCCUUCCCGCUUCUGAGAAAACCUCUAUUCCCCCGCUUCUUAAGCACUAACUUCGAAUUCAACAAGUCAGUAUAAUCAUUCCACUAAUAACUAUAAGAAAGAAACUCAUAAGUCAGAAUGAAACUCCGCAUUACUCUAGCUCCCGAACACAGGACUUGCUACCGAAACUAGAACUGUAAACUCUCCCUUACUCUUUAGCAGAUACGAAAACAAACAGGAACUGCUCCUUUAGCCUUAGCGGAUACGAAAACAGUAAUGGAACUUGCAGCUUACAAUCGAACCCUCUCUCGCGGAUUCUUGAUUGGCUUUGAUCUUAGUUGUCCACGAGAAUGUUCUUAUAAAGCAGAAGUCAGAGAAUCAUAAGGAACAGGUAAAGGUAAAGGCUUGAACUGAAUCUUUCUUUUAUCGCGCCCAUACCAGAAUAAAGGAAUUGAACGGAGCACCCUUUCUGAACGUGCAACUCAGGAAUUGCCAUUUGACUCUCUUGCAUCGCGCAGACAGAUAAGAUUUUCUCUCUUAUAACUCAACUCAACAAGCGCAACUCAUUACUCAACAAGCUUAGGCGCAACUCAUUAAUUGGAAUGGAUUCUUUCUUCUCGAGCACCUGGUGCAAUAAAGUUCUCAUUUCCUCGACUUGAAGUUCCUUCCCCAUAUCUUGCUGGUUCAGAAGAGAUGAGAUUCUUGCCCUAACUCUACUUGAAGGGAACUUUCCGAUUGCAGAUGACGAACUUGAUACUGGGAUCUGGAGUGGACUUUGACUUUGGCCAACCACCUCUAUCCACUUUAGUACACCCACCGCUUGCUGCUGACACAGAUGAAAGUCGAACUGAAACAUCAUUAACUGGCACAGCUUCAUAUCUUGAAACAGCUUUAUGCCAGGGUGAAGUGCAACAUUAAAGGAAGGCUCAAAGCCAGGCUUUAGGAAAGAAGAACUACGUAUCACUAUGAAUAUUCAUACGAACCUGCUGCGGAGCUGUUAAGUGAGUGUCUGGCAAAGAGCUUUCUUCGCGUAUAACAAGAGGUGAUGCUGCUAGGAAGUGAACGAGUUAACAUCUUUCCGAACAAGGGACACGUGAAUGCUUACAACCCUUAUAGGUAAGGGAGCAGCUCUUAGAUCAGUAUCGGAGAUGGCCUCCCAGCACCCAACGGGCAAAAGAAAGAGGUGAUGAGCUAAGUCUAGUGAAGGGAGAAUCUUCUCUCAGGUCUUCAUCUCAUGGAUGAGGGGGAGAAGCCAUAUCGAAAAUAACAUCUCUGAAUAUUCUCUUUUUAUAGUAGGGCGAGUAGCAAGACUAGAUUUCUCUCUGAAUAUUCUCUUUUUAUAGUAGUAGGGCGAGUAGCAAGACUGGAUUUCUCUCUUUACUCGUGGAUGAACCCUUCCGUCAAGCGGCUUCACAGCUGGCCGAUUGGAAAUGCUUUUUCCUACUAAUUGCUUCAAUGAUGGUUUCUUCAUAAAAUCAAAGAGAGGUGGGUGGCAGGUUCCUCAGUGGAGAGCUCACAAAUUCGAUGCUGCUUCCAAUCUAAUAUAUAAGUAAUUGGAAAACCACAGACUUGGAGAAAGAAGCUCCGGGAAUCACGACUAGAAUGCUUUCUCUUUCUUCGAGCUGAGACAGAUCAUUCAAUAAAUGAAGUUCUUUUUCCAGGCUAGUAACUGAGAUGAUGAAUAAGGGGAACUGCUUUUCUAUUGGUUACUUAUCUUUGACCUUUUUUUCAUAGCCCCGGAUCUGAUACCUAUGAUGGUCAAGUCUUGGAGUGUUCUUCGCCCUUACUUGUUAGCUUUUCCUCUUUCAAAUAGAAAGGUAAAGGAAAACAAUGCGAACUGCUCACCCGGGAAACUAUCACUUCUGUAACAGAGGAUAAGAUCAAAGGUGAGAACUAAUCAUCAAUGCUUUUAUCAAUCCCGUUCCAUCAUUCUAUACUCCCUUCCCUCCCUUCCCUACCUGUUUGGAAAUGCAUUUAUGUUGCUAUAAACUGUUGUCAUAGAAUCUGGUUCAAUAAGGAAGUACCGGUGGGGAGCUGUCGAAAUCUUUUCUUCUGUUUUGUUUGUUGCUGGGAAAGUGUUUCUCGGAACAGAAUAAUAUAUAUAUAAUAAGACCAAUUAGAUCGAUCAAGCCUGUAAGUAAUAAAUAGAAAGAAAAGGUCUACAUCCCCAAGAGCAGGAACGAGAAGAGGAAUGAAUCGAGUAAGGUCUGGAACUCUCUUACUGACUUUAGCAGCUCAUCUCUAAUCUGGGAUGCAUAGUAGUCUGCCCACAGGCUCUUUAAGGUUCUGUCUGCUUUUCGUCUUUCCGGGUUUCCGCCUUGUAUUUCUUAUAUAUAGUAUAGGAAAGAAAGAGGAGCGGGCAUAGGGAUGAGAGGUCAGAGAAUAGGAUUCUGUCUCGAAGAGGGAAGGGAUCUUAAUAAAGCUAUUCUACCGUUCGCAGACAUGGGUAAAACAGACUGGCUUGUUAGGGCGGAUAUCUCUUUUUUAUGAUGAUGGUUGGGUCUACGAUAUAGGCGCAACGUAGAGUCCUAAUUGCCGUAUGGAAUAAGUCUCCUCUCACGAGAAGCUUGAGUAAACCUAAGAAUGCUUACUACUAGACAAAGAUAAAGACCGGGGAUGGGAUCUAGACCAAGCUUUCGCAAACAUCUACAUUGGAACUUGGCGCUUUCGCAAACAUCUACAUUGGAACUUGGCUGGAAGGCUUUCUAUUGAGAUAUAUAUUCGAUGCUGUCAUUUCGAAAUGCCCGCUUAUACCGCCCAAAUAGCUAAGUUGGCUUUACGAGCGUGGAGCAAUAAAACAAAAAAGCUCUCUCUUUUCCUUAUACUUAAGGGACAAAGAGAAGCGCUUUGGCUACUGAGAAAACGAACAGUCAGCGCGAAGGUGAAAGACUUAGCCGAGCACGUUAGCGAAGCGCUGUAGUAGCUUUUAAGCCCUAUGCUAUGUGCUAUAAGGUUUGCUUCACUCAUUCUGAUUAGUCUUGCUCAGUUGACUAAGGAAUCUUUGUUUUGGUUUCCUUAGCCGAUGUUGAACCCUGGACUGAUUGGUUCCUGUUAGAGGUAAGUUCAGGAAUACCGUAUAGGCCCAUAUUUCCUAAGACUCGCUGUCUUGGUACCGUGGGCAAGUCUACAACUCAAAAACACUCCACGUAUACUUAUUUCUAUAUACUUAUUUCUAUAAAGUCUCAAGUAAUAAGUAGUGACCGUCCUUCCGAUCUGAUUGAAUAAGACCAAACUCAUAUCUUACCGAACUACACUACCUUCAUCCUCAUAACUUUCCGUCUUGAUGGCAGAGAGUUUACUUACUCUUUUCUUUGAGCCAACUUUACUGAAUGGGAUAUUCUAACUCUGCAUGGGAAAUGAUCCCUGCUAGCAAUUUCUUAUAGAUAUAGAGUAUGCUUCUCUCUCUAGAUUCCAUGUCUAUUCAUCCGGCAUUCUAUUUUCAAAAGAAGGGAAAGAUUGGAUUUAUUGGGAUGAAAAUAACCUUACCAAUCCAAGAAUAUAACCUUUCGACUGAUGAACAUCUUAUUCGGAUUUGGAAGUAUAUUUCGAUUCCAUAUGAGGCUCAAAUCGUAUGAUGAAGACGAGGAUGAAGUGGAUGAUGAUGUGACGAGAGGUGGUAUCCUACUUUUUGUCUAGGACCAUAGCUGCGUCCGGUGGUUGGCGCCUUAGUCAUCGAGGAAAUCGUAUCGGCCUUUGACGCCCUAAGAAAUUCCGGAUUUGAUUAUCGCUACUAGCUUAAGGCAUAUCCGUAUGUGGUCUCGAUACUUGCUUAAGUAAUAUCAGUAUGUGGUCUUCCUUCUUUCUGUCAGAUCGGUCAAAGACUGCACAUCCGAUGUGAGUUAACUUACAUAUGGGCUUUCCUAACAGCAGAGGAGAUUAACCCUCUCUAAAGCUCUCUCUUUCAACGGGUUUCUAUCCGCUCACCAAGGAAAGGACUACAAGGCGUCCGACGCUUAGAAAAUCAAGUGAAGGAUUGGAAUCGCCCUUAGAUUAUAGUCUAGCUCAUCAAUUAUAGUCUAGCUCAUCAAUUGGAAAGCUUAGAGCCCCUUAUCCUUUCCAGUCCAGCCCUUCGAGUACGUGAUUUGUGGGAAUCUAAACCAACCCGGCCCGGUUCCUUGAUUUGGUGUAUAUCUUGCCAUUCUCAGAAAUUCCAUCUCUCCACGAAAGGGCAAAUAAAUGUAGUCAGUCAAAGAAAGAAGCAAGCCGUAUAGAUGUUCUCCAUAGCCUGGAAUUGCAAACGACCUCCAAUCCGUAUAGAAGGGACUUUCUAAGAUAAGCGAUCUUUGCUGACCCAUGAGCGGCUGAUCCCGAGGUCUGGAUCCUUUUACAGUGCGAGGGGGAUCUCUUCUUUUCUCUGUCUCGCAAUAAAGCUCCUUUCCUUCUUCUUGCAUUUCUCUUGAUUUGCUUGAACUUUCUGGUGCUGUGCAAGCCCUCCUUCAGGUGAAGCGGCUAAAGCCUUAGUCUCCCCAGGAGUUUGUAUUAGAACUAACCUUAUAAGUAAGGGUGCCUAGAUAGGAUUCCCUGUCUAAUGGCCCAAAGACGUAAUAUGAAUACCGCCACAAAAGUAGAAGAAUACACUGACUGCUAACAAAGCGCUGUAACUACCCGGGCGACUAGUACAAUCAAAUAAAUACAAAUAAGAGAAUUGAGCAGCUGACCUAGAAGCUUGCCCUUCAUCCCCAUACUGCUGCUUUGAAUCCUUUAAAUAUAGAUUUGGAUCCUUACUUGUUAGUUAAAGAACCAACCUACUCUAUACCAGACCAUAUCUCCUGUUUUCAUUCCAUAUUGUUUGUAUUACUCUUCCCUUCCUGGCUAUUAGUCAAUAAUAGGAAGCAUCGAACUCGGGAAUCCAACUUGAACUACUGCCGAUAAGACUUGAUCUCGAGAUAGAUAAGUUGGCUGUGGAGGCACCGUAUCGAACUAAUCAGUAGAAUUAUGGGUAUGAUCUAGUGUAUCCAGGUAUAAUCACAUAAUAUAGAAUUCUAAGGUAGUAAAUCUGACUCAAUAACUUCUAAGGUAGUAAAUCUGACUCAUCGGGGAGGUAGUCCACAAUUACUUCACUAGUCACCCGGCCCUACUCAUUAGUUAAUUGAACUCAGCAGCCGCUGCCUUAGCGAUCUCAUUAAAGACCGAGCCUGACUCGCAAGUAGCCGAGCCUUAUUAUCCACCUAAAAUGCCAAGCCAUACUUCAUAGCUUCCAAACCAUACUUGUCCGCUCCACUCUUGUAGUUGCCCCUUACAUUCCUUAUUACCACCUUCAUUCCUUAUCUACUAGCUGCUAUUCCUUAGUUCGAGAGUUAGUCCCCCUUCCUUGCUUCUUAGAUUGAGUCUACCUAACUCCCUUGUGAUACUAGCCUGACCUGCCUAUCUUUCCAUUCUCUCACUACUGAGUAGGAUCUUGACUUACUUCAAUUGAGUAGGAUCUUUACUUACUUCAAUACUAGCUAUUAUUAGGAUCUUUACUUACUUCAAUACUAGCUAUUAUAAGAAAUAAAUAAUUGGAUUCAUGGGUAUGGUCCUAUAGCACAUGGGGGGCUAAUAGCACCAACCGAUUGCUAACAAGGCUGUGAAAUCGCUAUUGAUAAGAGUAAAAGACAUGAUAAAGAAUUCCUACAAAGAGUACUAGAAUCGAAACUGAGAAAGCAAAUCCAACUGUUGGUAACAAGGCUAUAGGCUCUAAACUGGGAACCGACCUCGAAACCAGGGGCAAGCAACUGGGCAAGGCCGCCAAGGCACUGGGCAAGUAACUACUCAUUUAAUCUAAUCCGCUCUCAAAGGUCAAGCAGUUACAAGUGUCUCGUCUAAAGUUCCAGUAUAAAGUAAGGUAGAAAGUACAGUUUUUGAUCCUGUCUUUGUCGGCGUUUGUGAGUUGACACAUUGGGCUAAGCAUUCUGUCUGAUAUUUGUAUACGAUGAAACUAGGCACCUUAGCCACGACAUUCUGUUCAGUACAAUGAUAUAAGAAUGGAAGGCACCCAAGACACUAGAAAUCGGAUGAAUCACACCGCUAGCACCAACAUAUACCAGCUUAGAGACUUACCACUUGCGCAGACGGCAUAUUAUUGACUAGAGUGCGACCAGGGAAGGCCCAGAAGUAUUGGCCCACACCAGGAAGUCCUCUCUCUGCGCGCUUUCUUUGAUCAACUUCAGAAUUACUACCUUAUAGUCUUUCUUGUAGCUUUCUUUGAUUAACUUAAUAUACCGACUCUUCCAUUUAGAAAGAGAAUUCUAAAAGAUGGAAACAGGGCGCGUGAGUGGAAGUGGUUCAAGCAGUCCAUGUGCUGUAAAGAUCCCCAAUUGCAUGAGUGUCGGUGGUUUAUGGGCCUACUGAUAGGAGAGACUUUCCCGAGUCGGUCAAUAGAAAAGGCUAGGGUGUGUUUGUGUGUGAUUAACUCCGUCUUCUUACUCUUGUUCUUACCUAAGAAAUUGAUAGCUAGGAGUAAGGGAAGCAAGGAGAGUUCGGGUCGGGUAGGUACGAAAUACUUCUUAGGAUGGUUUACUUACUUGCUUGGGUAGGCUUCUGUUUCUCACCCGGGUCGGGUAGGCUUCAGUGCUUUUGUUUACUGACUUGCUUGUUAGUCAGGUUUACUUACUAGCUUGUUAGGGUCGGGGUUAACACUUAUACGAGGCCCUUAUUGUAAGUUGAGGGGUUAGUUUUGCCUAGUUAAGGGAUAGGCUGACUUACUCGGGUAGUGUCGUUUACUUACUUUCUGGUUCCUGCACUGAUCUGGUUCUUAAGUCUGGUGAGGAUAGAGAGUCAAGGGAAGCUAAGCUAUUAAGUACUGAAGUCCUGAAUUGCUACCAAAAAAGACGGGAAAACGUGAAAAUAGAAUUCCAUCUUGGUUCGUUAGGAGGGGCCAAGGAACUGCUAAUGUUCCGCGGCAGGAGCUCUCACCUUCGCUAUGAAAAAUCCCGGGAAAACGGAAAAAUCUUAUUUCUAUGGAACCCUUUAGGAGGGAAAAGGACUUCGCUACCUUUUUUCUCGGUAAAACGUGAAAAGAUCAGAGAAAUCUGGUCAUCUAUUAGCGAAAAGAAGGUCGCUAUCAAAAAACCCGGGAAAACGUUACUUUGACUCUGCCACUACACAUUAGUAGUUACUUGCCUGAUAGCAACCCUUACUUAUUGACUUUGGACUGUACUUGCACUUAAAGGAAUACUAGUUCCAUAAGCAGGACCUGAAGCCUCAUCCCUUUCAACAAGCCCAGCUGCAGGCGUAAGAGCACAUAGUAAGUCAUAAGCCAAGCCCCAGUCAGAUUCAAAAGAAAGGGACGAAGCGGGCUUCUACUCGUAUAUUACUCUAUUCCUUUUCAAUACCCGAGUUAGAUGAGAUGGAGGCAAGAACAUUACUUAUGGAUGCAGACAGCUUUCCUGGCACUGCUUUGGCUUCCCUUAAGAACUCAGUCGGAUAAGAUAAGCUUCCGCAACGGAGCAAGAACAAGAUGAUGACCUUAACCACUUGGUUGCUCUUUCUACAAAUAAGGAAUUUUGAAUGGAAUGAUCAACUACAGGCUCUACUUUGACUUUCCUCUCUGCUAACUUCUUCCCCUUACUUAUUAAGGCUUAAGGCUGCUCCUGCCUAUUCUACUGCUUUUGAUAAAGAACUUGAUCCAGCUCGAAUGACUGAUUGACCUGAUUCUUCGUCCUGGCCAAAAGGCUCUGGGCGCUAAAGUCAACAGUGAGUUUCGGAGUUAGGUUACUUCAUUCUAUCAUGGGGGAGCAGAGCAUAGCACUCAAUUCCAUUCUUUUCUUUUAUCGAAGUAGAUAGGUCGGGUGUUUAGAGAGCCUGUAAAGCACUAGUUCCACUCUUUCCAAUAGCUGUAAAUGCACCGAUGCACCGAUGUUAUUAAAGAUUCAAUCCUAUCUACCCUAACAAACAAGCAAGCAAGUCCACCUCUCCUCUAGCUCUGGCAACAAAGACAGAUUCAGUUGAAGACCGUCCCCACUCUUUGAGUUCACCUCGACCCAACAAUAAACUACUCAGUCCUGUCUUCGGCAACUACUUCUCUAUUAACUCCCUGACUAACUCUUUCACUCCAGAGUAAAGGAAGAAAACAAGUCAUUCAAAAACUGACCCACGGAGCAAGCCCUACUCCCUAGCACUAGGACAGGAAGAGCCGGCUAAGGUAUAGAAUUCCACAGGUUGCUGUCAACUACCCCUAAUAGACCUAACUAGUCAGUAAACAAAGUCAGUAAACACUUCUUUCCACAAGCCCAGCAUGAGACCCCUAUCCUCUGUCAACUUGACUAGACUAGCACUAUUGAGUUGCCCUAGAUGCAGGCCUAGUAACUGACUUCGGGCGAUCGGUCCCUCUUUUAGACUACUAUAGUACCCGUUGGGGCUGGAAACCAACUAUUAGUGGUCCUCUUGAUUUCAGAUCAGAAUUAGACCUACCCCUUAACUACCCUAACAAGUAAGUCAACUCCUUUCUUAUUGUAUGCCGACCUCGACUCAGGUACUGAAGUACAGAAAAUCACUAGAACUGGGGCUAGGGCUUCGAACACCAAUUCAUUACUACCACUCACCAAAACCCAGGACUUGUCAAGCAUCUUAUUCUGUUGAGCCUUCUCUGGCUUCAGAUCAAUAUGUAUCUGCUUCCCUUGCCUGCCGCUAGUGUUCCUAGGCAAGUCGACUCUUGCUCAUCUACCGGAGUAAACAAAUACUUCUUGAAACAAUAAAUACGGAAUACAGCUGACUACUAGUAACUGCAUUCUUCUCCUCUUACCUAUGGCAACUGGCAACUCGAACUAUGGCUACAAAUAAAGAGUUAAUCGCCUCUGGCUACAACUACAGAUUCUACUACUCUACUACUAGUUUGGGCAAUCACUUAACUUGAUACUUUACCUCGCCCUGGAACAGGCAAUUCUCUUUAUAACCUUGAUUCAAAGCAAGUAAGAAGAAUACCAGGACAAUUAGUUCCAUAUCUAGCCCAGCCCAUAGGUGUGUUAUCGACCCGAACUCUCCUUUCUUCAUCGCCAGCACCUUUCCUUGAUACCUGCCCUCGUCCUGAACUUAACCCAGCUUUCCACUUCUUCUUUACCUUAUUAUCUAACUGCUUCCUUACCAUCCGAUUCAGCAUCCUCUAUUGAAACAGCAGAUUAUUGAGCCUCCUCCUUAACUGAUCUAGCUUCUGCUGGAACUCAACUUUAAGAACAAACAAUCAUAAACACGCGCACCCGAAACAAAACAAUAAGUGACUUUACUUCCAGCUUCAGAUCUUUGAUACUUUUCUUGCCUCCAACUGAGGAUUCUUAAGUAGACUUUUUUCCUUGCAAUCGAACUACACUUGCAGAAGCAAACGUUGCAGUGUACUUACUUUUAUAUCUAUAUCAUGUGCUACAAAGUCAUAAUGGAAUUGAUUAACAAGUCCUUUCUUUUUUCGUUGUAUCGGCGGUAGUUAGUUAUGGAGUAAGCAGUGAGUUUGUGUCAGCAAAGUAAGGAGUAAGCAGUAGAUGAGCUCCUAACGCUUGAAACUCCUAACGUUUCAAAGUAGCUCCGUUAGCGCCCAAAGAGACAGCUAUUGUUUUGAUUUUGAGUUUAGCUGUUUUGAAAGUGGGAAGUCACCCCCUCGGCUAAUAAUUAUGCUUGAGUGGAAGUCUUAUGCAACUUAUAUAUCUGCCACUCGAAACAGUACUUACUGUUAAGGCUCUGGACCACUACCUAGACUUUAGCCAACUCCUGGAAUUGUAUACUUGACCUCGACCAGAAGGAGAAGGAGACUAUUCUACCGCCGACCCGAUUGCUGCAACAGAACUAGAGCAAGUUGACUUUCCUGGCACCUACCGAUUAGUACACCUCCGCAUCAGAAGGAACUCUCUCUCCACGACAACUAAGGUCAAGGUUAAAGCCAAUCAUAUUGUCGGUCAAGGUUAAAGCCAAUCAUAUUGUCUGUUUUCUUACUAGGUUAUACUACAUGUUUUCUGACUUGCUAGAAUCCCUGUUUUAUUACUUAACGCAUAGGUUCCCCAACGAUUAACUUCAUGUAGAGGUAAGGUCGGCAAGAGAAGGAGUAGUUCCAGUGACAGUUGUAUCAUAUAUAUCAAUUCCAUUCUUAUUAGCGGUUGGCGCACUCUCCUAUUCCCCAGUUCGAUCGAUCCUUUCUAGUACCUUUGACUGAUGAGUUGGAUUACUUGUUAGCUGCUAGAGUCUUAUCAGUACUAGGUCCAGGAAAUCCAGAAUAGAAUCCGCGUAAGUAGAACAAAACACCACCUAUUGAACUCAAUCUAGUAGCCCCUUCCCACCUUGCAUUCUCUGUACUCAAUCCUGUAAUAAAUAAUAAGGAGGGCCUAUCUGAAGAAUGGGACUACUCCUAACAAGACUUAGUUCAAGGCCACUACAUCAAUACCUGGAAUCCCACCACUGCCACUUCUUAUACUUUUUGUUAGAAUAUGGAAUUGAACUAGUAAGUAAGCAAAAGGGAAGCCCUAAGUUAGUAGUAAGCCCCUAUCUAGUAAGUCUUCCCCUCAUCCAGUACUAGAGCGCAGUGACCCUCUUCUACAGGAGCUCUUCCCACUUCGCAUAUAGUAGUAGCUUGGCUCUUAUUAGUUGAUGUUGAAUUCUUACUUGCUGAAUUCGGCAACUAUACCACUCCUCUUGAAACAAGCCCUGCUGCUGGCAACUAUGAAAAGAAUGAGGCUAAUCUCACUCUUGCUACUAGGUAUUCCACUCUAACUAGACUUCCACUUAUAUGCUCUUUUGACUCUUGCUUGGCUCCAAUACUGUAAGUACCAAUUACUUGAGUUGACAGCCCCCACUAGUGCUCUUGACUUCCACUAAGAAUUCCACUAGUAAGUAUAAGCCUUAAAGCGCGGGGGCAGUGAUAAUUCCACUAGCUACUCGAGACUACUGGCAAAGAAUGUCCACUAGCUACUCGAGACUACUGGCAAAGAAUGUCCACUAGCUACUCGAGACUACUGGCAAAGAAUGUCCACUCGAAACAACAAAGCUACUACUACUAAUAGGGUCGCUGGCAACUAUCUCUUACCUCUUGCUCUUGCUCCCGAACACUUCUCUUGCUCCCGAACACAUAGUCAGUAGGCAAGCUACAGGACUAGAGCAAGAAAUCAGAAUGGAAUGGAAUUACCAACGGGACUACAACUUACCCGGGAUUAUACUCCAACCAUGAACAUAAGGGCAGCCUAUCAUCUAUAAUACCUGGCUGGCACUCGACCUCAACUAUGGCUCUGUACUCUUUACUGCUCUACUACUUAGGCCUAUUAGACCUAUUAAUACUAGACACUGACAACCAUCCCUAUUUGUACUAGACACUGGCAACAAAUACUUCUUGGAUCUCUCUAGCUUAUCUACUUCUCCUUAAAGAAGGGUAAACUCAUCUACUUCUGACCAAGGUAUACCGGUCUUCAACAAGCACUCUAACCUCCCUCUUGCCAACUACUGGCUCGGAUCCAGUUUCAUUCCAAGACUACCUUGUUUCUUCAUUGGACUAGCUCCAUUCUUUCACUCCUCGGUUUGAUUCCCUAACUACCUAGCAUCAACCUGUAACUUACCAGCUCCACUCUCUGUGGACCUACUUAAAGCCUGUCACUCCCUGGGCUGGGCGUGGAACAAGACUUCUUCCGUUUACUCCCCACUUCUUAUUGUCUACCUUGCCGACAUCGACUCUGUCAACUAAUACUGUUAUGGCUCCCGUCCCGAGCACAUAGCAAGUAUACAGAUAAAGCCCAAUUACUUAAGGUCAAAGGACUUGUAUACCAAACCUACCCCUAGUAUAGGAAGAAAACGAGUAAUUCCACAAGCCAAUCACCUACAGAUGAAACCCGGGUUUGAUAGCAAUUCAGGACUUCAGUACUUAUAGCUUAGCUUCCUGGCCUAUCCCUUACUUUAGAACCAGAACAGCACUUACCGGUCUUCAAGCAAACUACUCUAUCAAUCAGGUCUGAAACUCUGGUAUUCUACUUCUUAGAGUAUUUAUUGCUUAGCGAACUUACAAUAAGGGCCUAUACAUUCCUUCACGCGCGCAACUAUAAAGACAGAAAGUCACUUCACCAUCAAGAUAGGGGCGUCUCAUGAAAUCUUUCGCAUCGCCAACACUGACUGACAGAUGAAACUCAACCACAAGGAAAGGAGCGUAUCUAGCCUCUGAUUCUAUAACUGCUGUUCAUUCUCUUAUUGCAACACUCACACCCGCUCAAAGAAUCCGUUUUAGCGCUACUAAAGCACUUGCCUCACUCUGUCACUCCUGGUAAGUAGUAAGUCAAAGUAUAGUGGAUGGGGGUGAAACUGCUGAUAGGAAUGAUUCUCUUCAAGCAAGGGCGAGAUCCGUAUAGUAUCUUUAAUAACAGUUUGCUGGCUGACCUGGUCCUUAUGAGAAUCCUGCUCCCACCUACGGAAACUAUAUCUCCGGGUAAAGCUUCUUAUCUUGUCUCCUUCUACGGACUCUCUAUCUUCUCAAGUUCAUACUCUUUCUAUUUCUCCGGCUUAUGAUUCUACACCUGCUCCUUUAGCCUUAGCAGAUACGAAAGAAAACAGGAACGUAACCUUUCUAUCGAAAACCAGACUUGCGAGCACCACUAAUAUAGGAUUAAGGAAAGACACUCACUCUAUUCCCUUUGAUUUUGCCGAAUAAUACUUGAAGACGAAAACUGUCAUUUCAUCUCACUCGCCAUAGUAUAGUAAAGUUAGAAUUGAACUUCCCACUGAGGGAGUCGACUUAUCCUUCUGUUGCUUCAGGACUUGCGCCAACCUAACCUAAUAUAAGUGAGCAACCGGAACUAGCCAAUCAAUAACCUCUCUAUACGACAAACACAAGAACAGCGGAUUAGGAUUCUUCUCCAAACACAAGAACAGCGGAGCCAACAACAAGAUUGGAUACCCUCUUUAGCUCGAACACUAGCUAAGCACUCUGGUCUAGUGCCCUUUAUGAAUUGGCUUAAGUACUGGUUUCUCUCCGGGCCAGCUCUCUUAUUGAUGCCUAGGUUUAGGUUCUUUAAUGACUCUCUUCCACGCGCAUUCCCUUCUUUUGUUGUUGCUGAUAGUGAUCUACGUCCUGUCAUAACUCUAAUAACGGACAAGUGCUUCCUCGCAAUACACUUCCAGAAGAGAGAGGCUCACCUCACAAAGAAUAGGGUGCAAAAUUCACUAUAACAGCACUUUUUUCGUCUUAUGGGAAAUAUUACAUGGAAUACCCCCGUUGGAACCUAGAAAUGCAUUUAUUCCUAACAUCUUAGGGGUCGAACAAAGCACUUGUGGAGACUUUCCCAGGCCUAUCAAGAAAGACAGAAAUCAAGCUUUACCCUUAUUGACCGCAAGAGGCAGCGGAGGUGUUUACUUUCGAAUAGAAGAGGGGCCAAGCUACUUAUAAAGCAGAGGCAGGCGAGGCAGUAGAAAGUAGGGAAGCAGUUCAGUCAGAUUCCAAAGGGAGGAAUGCGCCGGUGGGUUCAGUUACCAAUGCUUUAGUGGGUGAAGUUACCAAUGCUUGAGUGGAAUUCUGUAUUUGUUAGUGACGAAGCGGUAAGUAAAGUCUAAAGUAUAGUCUAAAGGGAGUCUCAAGAUAAGGGGUGUAUUUUACAGACAAGUAGUAUUUACCAUUUUCUAUACUAGCGCAAGGACUGUGAAAUUCAGUGAAAUCCUAAUCUUACUUUGGUGGUAGAUCGUAUAUAACUUCUUAAUAUGCCCCCUGCCCUAUUCUAUACCUUAUAGCUGACUUUCCGCUUAACAGCUCUGCUUCGGAACUUAACUCAAAGAAGAGAAUUAUUCAUGCUCAUCCUAAACUGCAAGAAUAGAAGAUAGAGAAAAGCAUAGUUAUGCAAGAAUAGAAGAUAGAGAAAAGCAUAGUUAGUAAUCUGACCCUUACCUCGAUUCGAUUGUACUUGCUUUACUGAAUUUGAUUGUUCCAACAUUCUCUUAUAUUCUAUUAUAUGUGAUAUUCUAUUGUAUUUUCCCAUUAGUAUAGAAUCAUUAGUUCAAAAGUCCGUUUCAGAGUACCCAUUCCGGGCACCUCGCAUCAAAGAAAGAAUAGAAGGUAGUAGUUUAAGGCUAAUAGUAAGUAGGCGGGCACCUUAUUAUUAUUAUUAUAGUCGUUGUUAGCAGUGAUUCAAAUCGGCAUUUCGAGCUAAAGUCUGAUACACGGCCCUGCAUUAAUGGUUUGAUUAUGACUUUGGAGUUAAAGCCCUUUUAGCUGUGUAGUAAGUCUAGUUAGUAGUAGCUCCAUUCUUGUUAUCAAUAUUCCUGGUUAAGUGAGUAGUUAACCUUAUGUCGGAUUGUAGAAGACCACUAAGUAAGAUAUGGUUAGUCAAAUUCGAAUAGUCGGAUAGGAGUUCAAUUCGGAGUAAGUCCAUCAUUUAGUAAUUCCUUGUUUCAUUUCCCCUCCCCGGCUUCUUAUCAUUUCUCUUAGUCUCAUGCGCUAGUAGCCCGUACCAUCACCCUAUUCUUAUUCCUAUGUUCGAAAGUGAGGGAUGAUAUUAAGUAAGAAGGGUCAGGAGUUUCAAAGACAAAUACAUACGUGGGUAGAAGAACGAAGCCAACCAAGAGGGACAAGCUAGCUGGUGCAAUAAAGAAUCGAAGUCAUUAGUGAAAUAAGGAAAGAGGAAGGAUCAAAGGCAGUAAACCAAGGUCAGAAGCCAGGACAGAUUUGAAGCCAGGGGACAAAGUCUAAGCUAAGAUAUAUUCGUGGUUUCGCUCUCUAGUUAGUGGGGCAGUAGCCGAUUCUGAUAGUAGUUAGUUGAAUUCCCUCAGUUCCUAUUUCCAUUCUCCUUAGUAUUGAUUUCACUCUCUCUAUAGUAUAGGUAGUUCGGGAAGAAGUUUUCCCUAGUGCAACCCAUUAGGUAGUAUAUAAGCUCGAAACCAACAAAUAAGGGAAUAGAUAGUAAGACUAAAGGAGAGAAUAGUCAGCUUAGGGACAGUUGUGUCUGAGUUGUUUGAUUCUAACCCCAAUAAGUUAUGAUCCGAGGUCAGUGGAGCAAGAGCAAGGUUUGAGAUCCGCAGCUAUAGAAUUGUAGUAAUCAAGUUUGUCAGUAGUGUCGAUCCCAUAGUUGUUGGAAGGUGCUUGGUGGCUAAGAUACAGCAAAACAAGGUUCGAUGCCAGUCUACGAAUCCCUUUCUUAUAAGUCAACAUCAUUCUUCCUCGACCAAUUGCCCGGCCCCUGCUAUGAAUGAGGGAUGCUACUUUCUUUCUUGUCGACUUUAUAGCACUAGGUGAGCUAUCAGGAGCACGUACUACUAUACUCGAUAAGGAGCACAUACAUAUAUACUAUAGGUCGCUUCGAGUACCACUAUCCAUCAAACAAAAUAAGCACUGUUUGUUAUAGUGAAUUUCCAACUAAUGUAUUGGGUGUCUCAUCUCAAUGGUAUUGGUAUUGGGUGUCUCAUCUCGUAUGUAUGCCCCUACUAAUACAAACAUCAGUAAUUAGAAUAUAGUCAAUUAAUUAGAAUAUGGUAAUCAUGUGUUUUAUCAUUAGAAGAUUGGAUUCUCUUUUUCUUAUGGUUUACGGUCGAAAAGGGGUCUAAAAGGGUCUCUAGUUUGACUCAAUAUAUCUACAUAAGUAGGAAUGAAAGCAACAAUGCCCCAACCAAAACACUAGCCCCGAGCCCGAGCACAAACCCUAUACCUGAAAUUCCACAUUAAAAGCUUGAGCAAGACUCCAACUGACUAACUAUCAGACUGAAACUGCUACUCCCCUCCCUACUUUCAGUCUUUGUUCCCUGUUUCAUAAUUGUACUAAUAUUGGUGAAACCCUUGUCGGCAGUGGUUGUGCUACUGCUUCUCAAACGGAACUAGUGCCUAACAAGACGAAAACUCUUAGGCUCCUUUCUGGGAUUCCGUAUUGUCACCUUCAUUCCCUUGCGGACUUAUGGAAUUAUGAAACGACUCUCUACUGCAUGACAUUCCUAUGUGCACCUUUAAGUCUGACUUACUGCCCUGCCAUUCGUUGGUUUUAUUCUCUCCUACUUGAAAGAGAUAGUCUACGGUGGAUGUUACUACUGGACUUUCGCUUGACCCCGGUUGUCGUAUCGUAUAAGGAAGAAGAGAAGAAUGCUUAGCCGACGUAACUACACUCCUAACUCUGUAAGCGCAGACGACGAAGAUUUGCUUGGCCCACGUAACUACACUCCUAACUCUGUAAGCGCAGAUGACGAAGAUUUGCUUGGCCAAUUUCCAUAUUAAUCUCAUGUAUCUCAUAUAUAUCUUAGUGAAAUUGUAAACUCGGUUAAUGCGCUUGUGCGCCGGGCAAGGCAAUAAGUGAGGUUGGUGGUCGGGGUGCUCCUUUGCAGGUUCUUUUCCGGUUGACAGUUUGAACUUCUAUUACGGUUGGCGACGAACAAGCAACGUCUUCAAGUCUGUCCUGUUUUCGUCUUUGAUUUGUCAGAUGAUAUUCCAUUAUGACUUUCUUGCACAUAGUAUAUAAGCUUCUAACCAAACUGCUUCCUUCUAAACUCACUGUUUACUUGUUGAACUCAGCUAGUAACCCCGCAACUCCAAUAGUGGUAUAGUAACGACUAGUAAAGCAAGCUCAUAUGUCAUCUAGAAGACAGAAGACUAAAUGCCUGUUUGCUCGAACCCUACUAGCAAGGACACGUCGAGAAGAGGUUGGCGCUGAGAGAAGAGGUGUGGACUUUUGGUCAGGUGCUAAGGUAAGAUCAAGUGCUGUUAAUGAUGUUUCUUGCUCAACCUUUCCUUUAAUCCGCUCUUUGUAGUAACGUUCGAGCUCUGGUAUCUUUGUUUGGAAUCAAGAUCUUCCGCUAGGGAUCAAAUCCGUUUGUAAACGCUUCUCACAAGUGGAGUAUAAGUUUACGUUGAGGUAGGUGAUUGGCCUUCUAGUCCUGCUGUAGCUCAAAAUCCAAGUAGUUUCGUUCCGUUGCUAGUUUCGGAGUGAGAUGACUCUUUUGCCUUUUCUAUCCGUUUUGCACUCCAUUCUCUUAUGUAUGCCGAUAUGAUAUGAUAACACUUCAAGCUUAAAGCAAGCCGUCAGUUUACUACUUUCUCUAUAUUAGGAUAGGAGAGAGAUUCCAUGAUUUCUCUAUAUUAGGAAAGAGAUUCCAUGAGUGCAAUAAGCGUGAGCGCAAGACUCUUUUGUUGCUAUGAUAUAAGUAAUUGAAGUACAGAGUUAGCUGUAAGCUGUGAGGUGAUCUGUCACUUUAUUCUAUCUAUUUUGCAUCAAAUUCAUAAGAAAAAAGCUAGGGCCGAUACUAUAAGCUAGCUUUCAUACAUACCUGGCUCAAGGCCUUGUGCGUUAGUGAGUAGUCCCAAUAUUCUUUCUUUCUUAUACCUUUAGAAAGAUAGAUUCCAUUCAGUCAUACUUUACUGAACACUUGAACAGCCACAUUAGAUUACAGGCACACUUUACUGCUAUGAUCAUGAUUUUAUAAACAACAAGAAAAGUGUCUUUCUUGGCUUAUGUUUGUUUACGCUUUUCUAUUAUAUGCGUGCGAGAUAUCCUCUGGAAUUCAACAAACAAGAGUAAGCUGUUUGCUGUAGGGUUACUUCCGGAAGUGUAAGAGCAGUGUUUUGACUUCUAUAUGGUGUGGUGUGGAAAGCUAUAUUCUCCUCAACAAGCUAAGCAAGGGCGGGCGCAAGAGCUUAUAAGAGUUAUGUUGAGCCAGCAGUAAGCCUUUUUCACAAGCAAAGCAAGGGCGUAAGAGCUUAUUAUCAGUUUGUAAGGAAAGAAAGCAAGACGUUGGGCUGUAGUGAGUUUACCAGUGAAAGAAACAAGUGUGUUAGCGAGUUUAGGUUAGCUAGUUUAGGAAUGCAGUAGAGCGUGAGCUUUAGAGUUAGGUUACACUAUUAUAUCAUAUGUAAGUUAGAUUCCAUAUUGGCAAGGGCACUUCCUUCCUAGGCUUUUAGCCCACUGAGAAGACAGACGAAAGUAAACAGAACAAGCAAGCUUCCACUUAUUGUUUCGGGGAACAAGCCAAACAAGUAGUAACGGAACAAGCUGUCGUGCUAAUGCGAGCAGAACGGGGUGACGAUAUACGUGAUUCAAGUAAAACUCGAGCUUCAGGAACAACACUCGUAUACAAAGAAAAGCCCAAUAAGCAUAUAAACUCUUUGAUACACUGAACGACUUGGAGCUACUGCCGCACUGACUCACUACCGCGGCGCGCGCAUGUAUAUAUAUCUUAUUCGAAGUUGAACAGAUAAAGUCGUUCGGGACGCGUUAGCUUCAACGAGUACACCCCGCUUCAAAGCCAGCCGAUAUUCUACAGGUAAAGAAAGAACGUAAGCGAAUAGAGACUCCGGAAAGGCGUUCAAGCAGGGUUAAGGACAGAAAGAAGAUAGUACUUCUGAUGAACCUAAUGAGGUUAAGUAGACAGGAACAGAAUUCUCAAAGCUGAUAGGAGGUUUAGUCUUCAGGAACAGUAGCGCUUGUCAGGUCAGCAGCAAGACUAAGUUAUUCAAUAUGAGUUCGAGCAAGAAAGUAGUAUUCUGGCUUUUAAGAGAGUAUUGGCUUUGAAGCUGUAAGUACUGAAUGCGAGAAUAGAGUUCGGGGAAGAAGAUAGCCGAGGUCGGGGCAAAAGGGAAGCCAAGCCAAACCAAGUCAUUAAGUAAGCAGUAAGAUUCCAAAUCAAACUAAGCUGUGUCUUUCAAAGUAUCUAGAAGCCGCAUCUCAGUUCUCAUGCGGAGGAGCAGUUAAGGUAAGGCCAUCAUCUAGUACUGGCAAGGUAGCAAGGUGUCAAUCAGUGUAAUCAAUCGUAUUAAGAAGUCACAGUCGAAAGGAAUCUAAGCAGCCCGGCCCGCUCACUAACGCUGAAAACAGGGCUCGCUCCGUUAGCGCAGCAAACAAGGCUUGUUCCGUUGAGGUGACUCUGGAUUCUAUGAGUUUUUUAGGUGACUCUUUAUUCUAUGAGUUUUGAGUUCUAUUUUCUUUUAAAUAAAGUAUUGGCAUAAGCGGAAUAAGAAAUGUUGGAUUAUUACCUUCUCAGGCGCACUUCAUAUAAGUCUCCAUCAGUUCCGAGUUGAUUCAAUCUUAUGCGGAUACAGAAGCCUAAUCGAAUACCCACUCAUAGGGUAAGCUGCUAUCGAUUCUUCAAGUGAAGGAGAGGUUGGGCAAGUGGAUGCCAGCAUUCAAGUUCCGGCAGAUUCAAAACAAAAGGUGAGCAGUGUCUUUACAUUAUUCCCGCAGUGGUGCAAGAGAGAGAAAAUCAAUGAAACGGAAUUCUGCACUCGCAACAAGUCCAACAACGGUUAUUAUUUCCAACAACGGUUAUUAUUGCGCGAACUGUAGCUUCGGAAGUUAUCUACUCCACUCCUAUCUUUCUGACAUUCAACAUUCUACUUUACUUAAGUUUAGACUUGACUUGACAUCGAGCCUGUAGGCAGAGUAGGGCCAGUGAACAAGCAACGGAAUGAAAAUCCACAAUCAAUGUAAACAAGACAAUAUGUCUUUACUUGGCUUGGAUCUAUACCAACGCUUGGAUCUAUACCAACAGUUCUGAGGUUGGCGCUAAGAGAAUAGGUUGUAUAGCCAGCAGAGUACUUUUACUGUGCUUACCUGUGCUUACUUGACUUAGGGCUUGCUGCGGAUUCAGUUGGUAGGAAGUUGUCCAGUGGAUUCUUUCUUUGUAACGAGGUAGCCAGAGGGGAAGUAGAACUUUGUAGCGAGGUAGCCAGGGGGGAAGUAGAAGAGAGGAGCAAGCAGGGUUACUUUAUUCACUAGCUAAAGAAGAAGAGAGUACUGGCCGGGUAGACCAGAAGGGAGGAGAUAGAAGUACUGACCAGUAAGUAAAGAAUUGCUAUCAUCCCCAUACCAGAGUCGAGGUAGGCAAUAAAGUCAUACUGAGAGGUCGGGUCGGGUAGUUAUUAGAGGUCGGGUAGUUCCAGAGAGUACUCGCUUUGAGUCUAGUGGUAGUAGUCCUGCUCGAGUUGCAUCCCCAGUAGCAUCUGUCUUUGUAGCAAUAGGAGAAGUAGAUGAGAGUCAGUCCUGUUCUGGUGAUUGUUGAAAGAAGUUAAUAGGGGCCCUUAUAGUCUGUUUCGGGUGCUCAAACUCAAGAAGUAGGGCCCUUUUAGUAAGUUGUUAACUCAAAGAGAAGAGCCUGAGUUAGAGUAGAGGAUAAGAAUGAAGUUCAUUGUUGCCCUUAUAUGAAGUUGGUAGAUUAGCAAUAGGGUCAAGAUGUUAGGCAGAAAGGAGCUAUUUCCGCACUUUAGUUGUUUUAUGGGAAAUUCUCUAUGAAGUUCGCUUUCCAUUGCAUUAUAAUAGGGAAUACAACAGGACUCGUACAUCACUCAUUAGAACGUAUUUAUUACUUGCUUUGCUUUCGCCCUUGCUUUAAGAUCUGGGUAUGUAUUAUCAGAAUUGACCUAGCAACUAUCAGGCUUGGGGGCACUAGUUACAUUCUGAGUAGCGCUGGAUUAAGGCUUGGAUGCAGUGGUUGAGGUCUACCCAGCACCGGUUUGAGUCUGAUUGGAGUGAGGUUAAGUCUGCCCAACAGUGGUAUCAGCCUUGGAGUUACUGCUUUGGUUCUGUGAUGAGUUGGUUUCAGGCUUGGACUCCCUUGUUGAAGGCUGUUAGCGCGGGUUGAAGCCUUAGCAACAGUGGUUUCGUUCUGUCACUCACCGGUUUGAUUCUGGUUUCAUAUAUAAAGAGAGAUAGAAUGAACCUAUAUUUUCCUAUACUAAGUCAGUACUGAUUGGGUACUAUAGAAAGAGAUCGACUUUUCUGAUUGAUUUGUGAUUUCUUAUCCAAUUAUUUAUCCCAUGCGAUUCUUAUUGUCUGCCGACCUCGACUCUGGCUCUGUCAACGAAUACAACAAAUACAGAUUCCACUUGACCACUGCACUACUGGAAGGGGCAAUCACUUAACUUGAAACUUUACCUCGGCAAAACUAUCACUCGAACAGGAUCGGUACAAAAGCCAUAGGUUGGUAACGUCACUUAAAGCAAAGCAGGCUAAGAAGUGGAAAUAGCAUCAGCAAGAUAAGAAGCAAGGGAUAUCGUUCCAGUAGAGCUUCCUUGACUCUAUUAAUUAGUAUAAAGUAACUUAACCCUACAGAUAUGGGUGUAAUAUGAGCUCUAACAUAACUUCUUUCGUUUUAUGGUAAAUUCCCUAGGAAGAGAUCACACCUGCUUCAAAUGUAAUUCAAAGAGGGUUGAUUCGGAGCUGGCUGAGUCUUAUUGAACGGUGGAAGAAGAGGAGGCGGGGGGAGUUAAUAACAACUGCAUCCGCUUCGUCCGAUACUGAGUUUGCUUAUUUUGUUUCUUCUACUGAUCUCUACGACUUCACUCUUACUGUAACUGUAAACUCUCCUUUCUUAAGUGUUCUCCUAUAUAAGGAGAAGAUAGAAUUGAGUAUGGGACAAGUAACUGCGUCUGUUACGCGGCAGCAACGUCGACUUUUCUGCUUUAUUUCAUAUUUCUCAUUUCUUGUUUUUUCUGGUUUCUUGCCUGAUAGCUUUCAUUGCUUCCCUUGAGACCUCGACUCUGGCAACUUCCACUUUUCUGGUUUAUUUAUGAUUUGAUCAAAUUGAUUCAUCCCAUUGAAUUCUUAAGUCAACUCUCUUUCCAUUCUUAUUGUCUGCCGACCUAUCCUUGAAGUGCUGACCUAGACUCUGGCUCUGGCUUGGCUCAUAUAUCUCUUAUACCAUAUCGAAGGCUCCUACCUAUAUCUCUUAUACCAUAUCGAAGGCUCCCGAGCACAUAGCACAGCCUUUGGGAGUCCUUAUUUAGCCUAUACAAAUCUACCUCUCCUCUUGCCCGUUACUUGGCCCCUACUUUCCAUUUGAAGUUAAGCCAAGCAAAGCCCUACCAGAAGCAUUAGGUGAACUGCCAACAAGGUAUGUAACAAUUCUCCUCUUUUGCACUCAAUGCUGUUUGUUACCAAAUUCUAAAGGAAAGCUAUGCUAUGUUUUUACUCAUUUAUCUCAAAUGCUGUGCUGAUAGAUUCUUUUAGUUCGCCAAAGUAAGUGCUAAUGUGUUUGUCGGGAAAGUAUUGAAGACUCAUUCCUAACGCCAGGUUGCUUCUCUCUUCCUUAAUUCUCGUAACUGGGGCUCGGCUCACUAACGCGCAACUAGUUGUUUGUGCCAUAGUGCUAACGUGAGAAAGCCUAAGUGUCUUUACCUUAGAGAGAGAGUUUUAGAGUGAGUAAUAGAUGCUUUUUGUGUCCCUAUAGCAUAACAGAAUAUUGAACUUCUAUUCAACAAGCAGCUGGCUCUCGUAACUAACUGAAUGAGGCUCCUCUCUGGUAUUUCACUAACCAACAAGCUACUACGGAAGGGCAGCGGAACGAUGGCUCAAGAAUCCACCCUACUACUGGCAAGCCAGCUUCAAAGCCGAUACUCUCUUCUUCCUCGAGCAGUAUCUUUGAACUCUCCUCUGGCUCAUAUAACUCCAUUUGUUUUCUCAUCUAACUCAAUGGAUUUUCUACCUUAGGCUCCUAGGCAACUAUGAACUUCUUAUAAAGCUUACUCAGCAGCUCUUGAAACAACUUAUUUAUAAGAUAUGAAACAAGGGAUUCCACUCGAAAGAGAAGAGGACAGGUAUAGUAGAAGAAGAGAAGAGAGCCGAAUGGAACAAGCCCAGCAGCUGUCAACAAUACCUCUCCGUAGUCAAAGAAUUAAUCCGGGCUGGCUUACUAAGUAGGGACUAGUUUACUUACUUGCUUGGCCCCUUCCUGUAAUCUAAUCUUCCCCGAACUACACCUUUCCCGCUUCUACUUGCUUAUUCGAACGCUAGGCAAUAAAUAGUACAUGAAUCUUAUGGCCCUUUCUUUUGCUUUAUAAAGAUCGAAUAUAAGUCUUGACGCGCCUAAGCUUGUUCAGUCAAACAUCAUUCUGCAUUUCCAUUUCACAUACGUGCAUAUAUAAUCUAGAAAUGGCAAUACCCUUGCAGUUAGCGGGUUACACCUCGGGUUAGCGGGUUACACCUCGGACAGGAAUCUUUCCCUUUUGCCGAGUAAACAAAUAAUGAAAGAAAUCUCUUUUUGGUUGAAGCAACAAACUAUUUAUUCUAUCUUGCGCCUGCAUACAAAUAGAAUUAAGGAAUGCUGCUGACUCCUAUUAACUGAAUUAGGCUAGGCUCCGAUCAAUCCUCUUCUAUUCUGACCUCUAUCUCUUCUCUUGUAGAACUUCUAUGCUAUCUAUUACCUAUGGCUCAUAUCAUCUAACUCAGGCUGGCUCUUGAUACUCUCCUCUCCACUGACUUUCAAUUCAUAACUUUCCACUUUCAACCGUACUCCACUAAAUUUCGCUAGCCAAGCACAACUUCCUUGCCUUUCAACUGAAGGGUUUCAAUUCGCCGUGUAAACUAUAUCUAGUGCUUCUCAUUCUUUUACUGACUUCUUUCAUUCUCGUACUUAGCUACAGCACUCUUUCACUUUGACUUAGAAGCCUUACUUUUGUACAUUAGCUCGAGCCAGUCUCUCCCUCCUAUAAGGUUGUAACUGCUGAGUCGGAUCCCUCGACUGCCGCUUAUGAGACUUGUGAGCUACUGCUUCUCAUAAUGUAACUGCCGGCAAACAGACUUUCACUACCAACUCAAAGAUCGAAGCAAAGAAUUCCAUUUGAAGCUUCUUUUCUCUCUUAACUAGCACAUAGCAUCUUUUCUCUCUUAACUAGGGAUGAAACCUGCACUGGAACAGGAGAAGGAUCGGCUACUAUGCUUCUUGCCUUUGUUGACAGGUAUAAUAGAAGAGGGUAACAAGCCAUAGCCUCUUUCUCUCAAUUAAUAAUUUCAUAAUUUGGUUUGAGCGGUUAAGUUUGAAUUUCACUCCCAGGUAAGAAGAGGAGGAUUUAGCUAGGUCUAAUGGAAUCAGGUAACCAACCGGCGUGCUCUGGGCUCUUAAUUGAAAGUCGGAAUGAAACCAUCCGCCGCACAGUAAUAAUUUGACAACUAUGAAUUACAAAUUUCCCUCUUCUGCGCUAAGUCCAGAACCAGAAUCUUUGCCAUAGAGGUCUACUAUAUGUUGGUAACAAACCCGCCAAGCUCUUACUGCUUCAUUUCACUCAAUAGCCUGAGGAGAGUUAGAUGAGCCAGAGGAUAGUUCUAGUUUCCGAACACUCGCGGCCCUGGCUUCCAAUCAGGUUUCUGCUCUAACAGCUUCAUUUCCUUACUUUUCAUCUACAGUUGGCUCAUUACCUAUUACAGCAGGUUCUUUCGCCUUUGACUUUGCAUGCUUUGCUUAACUAACUCCAAUAACGGAAAUAUGUCUAAUACUAAUAAGCAAUGGGGAGAGCUCCUAACGUGAAGUCACCAGCACAGGACUCGUACUUGAUUCUGCAGAAGAUCUGGAUUCUGCUCCUUUCGACGAAAGAGAGAGAUCAGAAGCCGCUGGAAAUGAUGUAUCUGUUCUAAAAGAGAGCUCCGUAUUUGCAUUUGCAACAGGGUUUGGGUAAGAAUCCUUUACUACCAUCUGAUCUUAUGCUUGAGUUUGUUAGCUCGAUGAACUAAUUAAGACAGACCUCUUUUGUUGGUAACUUGACUUCUAACUUGUUCUUGCGAAAGCACUUGUGGAAUGUAGGUGCACCUGUUCUUUUAUAGCAGUAGUUUGUCACCCAAGGUAUAGGUCGCUUAAAUGGUAUAGGUCGCUUAAAUGGUAUAGGUCGCUUUCAAGGUAUAGGUCUUAAGAGUCAGUCCAGUCUUUUGUAUCAGUAAGAGAUGUUCUAGUCCAAGUCAAGUCGUCAAUUGAACGUGGUCCAAUGCAAGCAUCCAAAUUCAGUGAGGAUGCCUUUUCGGGUGAAGGGAAUAAGAAAGCACUCUGGCCUGGCUUGCCUGGGGUGAAGCAUCUAUUGACAGCUAGGUUAGGGAAGGGAGUUCUUCCUGUCUUCAUGGGCUAACGGGAAUUUGAAGCGCUAAGUACUGCCAGGCCCAGGAUAAGAAUAAGAAGCCGCAUCCGCAGUGCUAAAGUCAGCAGCCAAAUAACCAGUUUCCGUGGAAUCCCUAGUUGAAGUUGCAAGUCAAGGCUGGUUGAUAAGCCUGAUAAGUUGGGGUUUCUUUCUUUUGCUGGUUUAAUUCCCAUAGAGCAGAUGACUUCUUAGAACCAGUAGGUCAAUUCUGGUUGGCAUAGGAGUAAGAUUUGAAGGAUGCCGCACAAGUAAGUAAGAUUUAUCUGUCAGUAAAGCAGACUCAAAGCCCAGGGAUAAAGAGUAAUGGACAGGAAGGUGAGCCGAGCCUGAGAGGCCAUAGUGAUAGAAUCGGAGUUUUCAGUAGACGAAUCAAAGACUCAAUAGAGUUUGAAAGUAAGUAAGGACAUAGUGAAAUGCACGAGUAGGGCUUUGUUUGUGAAGUAAGUAUUCCAUAAGUAGUAGUGGGUUUCAUCCCUAGUUUAGUCUUAAGUGGACAAGUAGGGGUAUGGUUCAGUUGCAUCUGUAUUAGUUGACAUAGGUAUCGGAUAAGAGACAGAGGAGAGGCUAAAUGCAGACUAGUUGACAUAGUUAGAUGAGCAAGAUCAGAGGGAUAGGAUCAAGAAAGGUCUACUUUGGAAUGCAUUAUUUCUCAUAUUUAGAUGUUUUGAAUUGGAUUUCCCAUAAAACUACUUGAGUUCUGUUAUAGUUCCUUUUUUGCCUAUAAAACAAGGGUAUUCGUUAUCAGAGCAGAGUUGUUGGCGAGUUGAAUACCAAACUAGUAGUAGAGUAGUUAGCUCUUUGAACUUACGUAGCUCGCCUACUGACUAUGUGUUCGGGAGAAAGAGAAGAGUUAUUGUUGACAGAGCCAGGGCAGAGGCAAGAUCAGAGGCUAGAUCCGAGGCAAGAGAAGAGGAGAUAUUAUCCAUUUGCUAUCUAAAAUCCCGGGAAAACGGCCAAGCAACUACUAACGUUGCGCGGCAGCAACGAAUAACGGACGUUAGGGAGUUAUGAGCAAGUCCUGUGUCCGGGAAUGACUUUGGAUCGGUCUAGCAGGGAAAAUGACUUGGCUAUGAGGCAAGGCCAAGCAACGGCGCAAGCCGCUGCGCGGCAGCAACCAAUAGGUAGUUAUAAGAAAUUCUAAACAAGUCCACCAAGCAACUACUAAUGACCAAGCCGACUUAGGCGCGGUAGGAGUUGAGCUAAACGGUAGCGAGCUUAAAAACGCGUUACGCGGCAGUGUUGUUUCACGGGAAAACGCAAAAGUGGAGGAUCCAUCUGGUCACUCAGGAAGGAAAAGGACGUGGCUACCCGCCAAGUAACUACUAACGUUACGCGGCAGUGUUGUUUAACGGGGUUUCAUAAAAGAAUCAGUGCUUUUUCUCUGUCUAUUAGCGAAAAUCUUGUUGCUGCCUUUUUUGCCGUGUUUUGGUGAGUGGGUUGGUUUAAAGGAACUGUAGGCUUAGUCUCCUCUCCAGGAGUACAGGCUUUGCUUUGAUACGAGGGUAGUUGUGGAAUUCAGUGACUGCUGCUGGGCUUGUUGACUUACUAGCUAGACUAGUUAGGGUGGUGGACUCACUUAGUUUACUUACUUGGCGGGUAGGCUGUUGACUUACUUUGUGAGGCAGUGAGAGUUUCAUCCCGUCAAGCAACAGAGUUAGAUUAGCCUCAUUCUGUUAUAAGAGAUGAUAAAGUCAGUAAAGUCAGUUUCCCCACUAUUCCAAAGUCAGUAAAGUAGAUUUCUGUUCUUGUUUCAUCCCAGUAGCAAGUAGUAGUCCUGUGUGAGCCUUUACUAGAUACCUUCGGGCGAGGAAGCUAUAAGUAAAGAAGUAUAGUGAAAAACAUGACAACUGAAAUGAAUUCUGAUAUAAGAGAACAGCCCCGGAUCGGUUGAUUGUUCCUUAAAGAAGAUAAUCAGGGUUGACUGUUCCUUAAAGUAGUCGUGUUUCCUUAAAGUAGUGGUCAAGUGGAAUCUGUCUUUGUUGUCGGUUCAGCAAUGAUAUAGUUAUUGGCUUAGAGUAUCUUUCUGUUCUUGUUGAAGACCGAGUGGAAUCAGUUCUCCUACUGGUGGUAUUGCCCUUAAGUUAAUGGUGAGAUCAGCCCCUACAAAGCAAGCAUCUGAUCUGGUCGACUUCCCACUUGAGAACACGUACUGGGUUUGUUUAGUUACUUCUUUCUAUCAUACCCAAGCCAAGGUACUAGGUUAGUGACUUCUUUCUAUCAUACCCAAGCCCAGGUACUGGGUUAGUGACUUCUUUCUAUCAUACCCGAGCCCAGCUCAUGAUUCUGUUUCUUCCGGUAAAGUGUAAUUCUGAUUCGUAUCCCCUGCUUCGGCGCAAAGUUCCAUUCAUGCUUCUUCUCUUUCAACUAGAUACGCCUCCUUACCUAUCUCCUUUCCUUGGUUACAAAGAUCUAUCAGACCUAGCUCAUGAUUCUGUUUAUCCCCUGAAAAGGUGGAACUCUGACUUGAGAGUUGAGAGCACGGUGAGUGACCUAUUCUAUCUCAAUACCUCGCUAAUGAUUCUGUUCUGUUUCUGGACACCUCGCUACCUUAACGGGGGCCUUUGCCCUUAUUGCUAAGUACGAGACCUUUGCCCUUAUUGCUAAGUACCCGGCUUCCCCACCUGACACAGAUGCCCUUAUUGCUAAGUACCCGGCUUCCUUACAAGACACAGAUCCUUCUCUUUCCACCCUUGCUCCUCUCUUGCAACUAUUAACUGUUACUACUUAGUGAAAUGACUAGAUGUAGAUGCGGGGGCCAAGCUACGAGGCAAGUCGACAACUACGUUCAUUCUUUGACAACUUUGUUCAAUUCUGUAACUCCCACUUUCCUACUUCCACUCAAAGCAAAGAGCUAACUAAUCUACUACUUGCUCCAACAAAGAAGCUCUUAACUACUAACUAUAGGAUCGACUAACUGCCAAAAAGGCUAUAAUUACUAAUAAAGAGAAUCAACACAUUGGUAAGGAAUCGAAUUACUAACUAUCGGAUUGAAACUCCCUAACCUAAUUCUUCAGCUCCGGCGUCUCAGGCUGACUUUCCCUUAUCCCAUUCUCAUAUUGCUUUACACGUUCUGUAUUACCUACACCGGCUACUAGGCCUGUUCCUUACAUUCCGAAGUUCGCCCUUGUCUCUGCCAUUCCUCUACCUAAGCAAUUUCUCCCUUGUAUACGCAAAUACAUAGUAAAGGCUAUAGGUCCGGAACUACAAUACCCAUCUAGUUGGAAGAAAGAAUGAAAUCUAGUUGGAAGAAAGAAUGAAAUGAGAAAUAAGGAAAUGAACCAAUCAGAAAUGCGCUACUCCAGGGCAACUGCAAGAAGAAAAGCGCAUAAUUAGGUUUUGUCUUAGGUAUUACUGCUUCUGUCUUCGUAGAUCAAUCAGUGCACUAAAGAGUAUUGGACAAGCAACUGGGAAAUCCACUAUUAAUAGAAAGAAUGGAACCAAUGCCUAAAAUACUUUACUAGCGCUCAAGCAAACUACAACCUUUAUAAGGGAACUCCACUUAGUACCAAUCCGAUUAGGCUGAAAACACCCUAUGGGGAAUCAAGCUACUAACGAGAAGACUCAUCUUACAAACCGAGCCUUACCCUUGUUCUCGGUCUUAUAACCUGGGCAUCUAAAUCUUAUUCCUCUGCUAACAAGAAUAGAGCUAGCAACAAACGGGCUAUAAUCACUAACUUCCGGGGCUUACUACCUAUUCUGAACUACUGACCAAAAAUCGAAGACUUACUUAACUGUUAACAAGACUCGCGCUACCACGUAUAGGGUAACCAAGAAGCAAGGGAAUAAGUAAUGGAACUAAUGCUAACACGGCUAUAGCUCGGAACUAAGAAUCAAAGGAGUCAGAAUCAAUCCGGAAAUAAGGAAUAUAUAUGAAGUAUUUAGUAACGGAAUAGAACUCGGGAAUCGCCUACUACUUAAGAGAGCACCUAUUGCUUCUAACUGCUCUGUGGAAUCGAGAAUGUAAGUACACUGAGUUAAAGAACGAAAGCUCGGGAUGCUAGGCUUCUACCUUUUCGCCUCAGGCUUGUUCUACUGUUUUUCAUAAUUGAACUUGCAAUAAAGAAAUCUACUACUAUAGGGAAUUGAACAGAAGGAAUAGGCAAU